rnacentral:lncRNA from 1 species
UUUUUUUUUUUUUGUAGUUUUUGAAAACUAAUAACCGCACUGCACCGCAAAUUUGCGGUUUUUGAAAAAUAGAAAACCUCACCAUCGGUUUUUUUUGCGGUUGCGGUUAAUUUUAGUUGCGGUGCGGUUUUUGCUCACCCCCAAUCAAUANAUAUAUAUAUAUAUAUAUAUAUAUAAUAACAGUUUUAUUAAAAUUAAAUAAUAACCACUAUUGUCAAAUAUAACAACUAUCGAUCAUGAGCAUGUUCACCCACUCAACAAUGAGUCGGCUAUCAGGCGUCUAGGAAUAAGCUCUACUUAGGGGGAAGUAUUUGGAGCUGCGGACCGGAGAUGUAAUGACGUUGACCUGUAUAGGCCUUAAAAUGUUCAGUUCAAGGUCCAUCAUUUCUACAAAACCGAUAUGAUCCAAGAGUUGGUUCGGCCUGAUUCGGUCCAAGUACUGUAACAUUCGUGAUUUGAGGUAAUGUUAAUUAUUUAACUUUCAUAAUUUAAUUGUUGGACUAUGAGAUUAAUGUGGGAUUAUUUAGUUGGGCCUUAGUGAGUGGGCUGUUAUAUAGUUGGGCCGACUGAAGACGUACGUUGGGCGUAAGCUUGGCAUAUGCGGGGCGUAGUGGCAACAUUGGAUGUGGGGGAUCGAUACGCAUACGCGCAGUGUACGCGAGUAGACUCAAAACCCUUAUUUUUAGGGUUUAAGCCAUAUAAUACCUCAUUAUGUCCCAAAUCCUAGCCUCCUUACUAGCCACCUUGACUCGGAAACCCUAGAAACCUAACCUUCUUCGUCUUUGUGUGAUUUUGAUCUUAUGAAGCCCAUUUUGGUGAUUUGGAGUUUGGAAGGAGAAAAAAGAAGUUAAAGAAGAAGAACUUGAGUAGCUUGAGCUCAAGGAUCUGAGAUAUCAUCACCAUUUAGCACUCAUUUAAGGUAAAAAGCUCACAACUUGCCUCACGUAUGCUUAGAUCUAUGAUAAUGGUGUUUUGGACCUUUUUGGUCCCAAGAAUGGAUUUUUUUGGUCCAAAUCUGUUUCUAGGCUUGGGGUUGCCACCUUUAGUGUUAUAUGAGUCCCAAGAAUAGAAAAGUUUCCAUCUUGAAGGUCUUAUUGUGGCCGCAUGAAUUUUAGUCAUUUCCAUGGAAAUUAGCUGCCAUAUUUCAAGUUUGGGUCCGUUUGGUGGGUUGAAAGCCACCAAGUAAUUGAAUUCAUGGGUUAAGACACUUUAGUGGACUCAGAUCUGUGUUUGGAGCUUAAGGUCUUAAAGGAUUAAUCCUUUUUGGAGUUUAUGGAUUAACAGGGUAGUACGAUGGGCGUACAAUCCCGUACGCGCAUCGUAUAAGCCAUGCAGGAUGUAUGCUUAGUGUAUAGAGGAGUACACCUCGCGUACUCACUGGAUUCGAGUUCUUCGUCAUUUGGGCCUCGAUUUGGGCCGAUCUUUGGACUUCUUAGCUGUUAGGCCUUAGUGGGCCAUUAGAAGUGAGUUAGUGGGCUAAGGACAUGUUUGGGAUUAAAGGAAUGCCCAUUUGAGGAGUUGGGCCCAAUUUAGAAAAUUGGGCCAUAAGCGGGCCAUUAGUGGACUUGGAAAGGCUAUAUAUAAUUGGAGCAUGGAUGUUAUGGAAUUGGGCUUAUGUUAUGGUCCAAAUUAGAUCAAGGGUAAAAUGGCCAUUUGACCCUAAGAAGGAUUAUUAGUUUUUGACUAAGUGUUGUUGUGGUAAUGAUAGCUCGGGGAGUCGUUGGAGCAUCCGUUAGAGAUUCCUUACCGUGAGAUUUUGCAUCCGUUGUAGGAAUGGGUCGAAGGCACCAAUGUCGGCCCGUUUAUGUAUGUUAGUAUGUUUUGGACUAAGAUCCAAUGUCGGGCAGUGCCCGAUGUAGGUUUAUAUGUUUUCGGAUUUCUGACUCGAUGUCAGGUGGUGCCCGAUGAAUGUUUGUAUGCUUGAUGUCUUUGUGAUUCUUGCAUGUGUCUGUUUUGUAUGUUUCUGGAUUUCGGUCCGAUGUCAGGCAAUGGCUGAGGAAUGUUUGUAUGCUUCCGGAUUUCGGUCUAAUGUUGGGCGGGGCCCGAUGAACGUUUAUAUGUUUAUGUUAUGUGAUUAUUUAUGUUCGGCGGGGCUUGAUUCCGGGUGGGCCCGAUGCCAGACUCUGUCCGAUGUCGGGCGAGGAUGUUGGGCAGAGCCCGAUGUCGGAUAGUGUCCGAUGUCGGGCAGGGCCCGAUGAAGCAGGCGGGGCCCAUGAUAUGUUAUUAUGUGAUUAUGUGAUUAUGUGCAUGAUAUGUGGUAGUUUGGGGAGACUCACUAAGCUGCGUGCUUACAGUUUUCAGUUUUGGUUUCAGGUACUUCUGGUAGCAAUGGGAAGAGCUCGGGAUGACUGCAUUGCACACACCACGAUGUUUUAGCGAUUGAUGUUUACUCUGAUAUAUUGACAUAUGUUCUUGGAUAUGAUGUUUUGAGAUACUAUGACUUACAUUUUGGAUGAGAUGAGUUUGAUAACUAUGGUUUAUGUAUGAUUUUAAAACAAAAUUUUUUGUCAUGAUUUUUGGGGUGUUUCAAAUACUCACCCUUACAAUCGUAAUAGAUAAAAUAACUUUAUGUAGGCUUUAACAAGUUGUAUCAUAUGCAAUUAAAUUUGAACAAGUCCAAUGGGUACACGAAUCGGAAAACCCAAACAUGGACCGGACCUCGACCGAGCUCAACCAAUCUGGUCCAAGGGCCACUAAUUCCGGCCAAAUCGGUACGGUCCAAGAGUUGUUCUGGUAUGGUUCAAUAUAAAUGCUCACCUCAAUCUUUGUUGAUGUUUUAGAGGGAUUAAAGUUAAGCAUGUUCGUGUUGGAUUUUGUAUACUACAACAUCAUAUGGUGCACAUACAACCCUAAAUGCUUUGGAUUUAUGUUUUCUCUAAUUAUACAUGCAAUAAUGUUUCCAAAGCAUUAAGCCUACAACUAGCAUGCAAUUGACAUAAACAACAUAAAAUACUAGUUAGGAGUACUUGGCUUUUAGGAACUUAGUGCCCUAAAUGUUGCACCUCAAAUGGUUCACAACACACCUUGGACAAAGGAUGACUUUUGAUAGAGUAUUCUUGCACUAGAAAUCAUCUCCAUGAACUCUUAGAACAUUAAGUUGGCGAUUUUAGCUAUGGGAUGCUCUCUCUCUCUCUCUCUCUAUAUAUAUAUAUAUAUAUAUAUAUAUAUAUAGGGUGAAAUAGACACGGGGGUGNUAUAUAUAUAUAUGUUAGGAAUCCAAGAGUCAUGGGUAAACCUUAAUCCAUACUCUUGGGCUUAUUAUCCAUGAUCAAUGAUUCAAGUGGGCUAACUCUUUAUGUAUUCUUCCAUAAACUUGGUCCAUCAUGUAUCAUAAGCCCAAAACAUAUAUAUAACUAAUUUACACAAUUAGUCACCAUUAAUUUAAUUAGUCUCUUUUGAUCACUAAACUAAUUACAAAUUAAUUAUUGAUCAAUACUAAUUAAACCAUAUGAUUUCAUAUUAAUAUAUUAGAACUUAUUAUAUAUUAAUAAAUCAUAAAUAACCUCUUCUCAAAAGUCCAUCCUAUCAAAUUGUCGUGGUGAUAUGCAACUCAAAUAGACCAUGCUACUAUCGGGUCAAGUACAUACCAAUUAUAGUUAUGGGCUUAGACAUCUAAUCCAACUGUCUCCCACUUGGAUAAGUCUAAUAACUAUUAUUGCAAGUACGACUCCAUAACCCGACUAGCAAUCGUAGCUCUUAAAAGAUGUUGUCGAACUCUGACCUAGUCAAUAACACGUCCAUUAGAUAAGGGAUCAUAUAUUCCUCCAUUCUAGAUAUCAUAUGGAAAUGAGACAUGGAUUAUAAUCAUUCUCUUUGUCCAUAUGUUGUUUCCCGAUUUCCAAUUUAUGACGACCGACUAAUUGAAUAAAUCAAAUCAGUCUAGGCUUGGCCAAACACUUAGGGUUGUCAUCACUAAAUCAUCGAAGGGCCCACAUUUAUCGCUUUUAUCCCUCUAAGGGUAAAAGGAAUGGAUAAACUUCGAUUCAAUUGCUUGCUUGUACUUACUCAUCAAAUCACACACAACAAUAUGUUUUAUAACACCAAGUUACUGGUGUGUUUACAUAUCUCAAUGUGCAAUAGACUUGCAAACUACAACUCAUAUGUCUUGGUUUCAAUAAUAUAAGAUAUUAUCGUCUCACAAUCACUCGUGAUUCCAUGAAGUAAUUCAGGUGAGCAUGGGUUUAAUCCAAUACUUGAAUCUUAUUCCAGGAGUACUCAUGAACACUGCAACAAACUUGUGCUAUGUCAAAAACACCUAGACAAUCUACAGUCAGAUUCAUGACAGUCUUGCCUCAAUACCUACUUCCAAAGUAUGAUUGACUAUGAAUGGUUUGAAUAACCUAGUUAUUCAGGAAGUCAAAACAUGUAAAGUGAAACACAAGAAUAGUUGAAUCCAAUAUGGUCUCAGAAGUUAUGAAUAUAAAUAAAACACCUUUUAUUUAAUCACCAUAUUGAUUACACAUUAUUCAUUGUAUAAUGUUUUGAUUAAUGAACUUAAUACUUGGAUUAGAAUAAUAGUUAUCCCAUGCUCCAAGCAUGCACACUAUGUUUGCAUAUGGUCCUUUCUUUGUGAAAUAGAUCAAUUGAACACAUCUUCAAUGAAACUCAUUUCACAAUUCCAAAUCCUUACCGUAAAUGUAAGAAUACCGAAUUCUUGCCAUUUACUGUAAUAUGUUAGAUUCUAAACUUAUAUGCAAUGAUCCUCUUGUAAUGACUAUGCACAAAAGUCACAGAGACUUUGGCAACAGACAUUUCAAAGUAUUCCAAUGGAGAGCAAUUCCAUUUAGUCUCACAUUCAAAGUACAUUCCUUUGAACAUCCUUCUUGCAUUAAGUUUUUUAAUCUUACAUAGAUUUAAAGAAUAACUUCCUUUUAUGGAAACAUUUCCAUAUUCCCAUUUUGACUAUCACUUCUGAACAAGAGUUACCUCUUCUCAUAGUAUGCCAAUAUAGUCCUUCCAAAAUUCAGAAUAUACUUCCAAUUGUCCAUAAGCAACCAAUCUUUGGUAAACCUCUUAUUGUCCUCGACAAUUGUUUAACCAUUUUAGUCAUAUAUCGUUCUAGUCCCUUUUCCCUCUUAAUGCCCUAGGCAUUUGGAAAAUUAGAACAGAUUAAUAUUAUAGUUUAUGUAAUCGAUCCUUUAUCCGAAGCAUAUCACAUAAAGACAUGAUACUUUACCAGUCUUUCGCUAUAAUAUUUCCACAUAUAGAAUUUCCUUAUGUUGAAUCAUUUCAACAUAACAUUCACAUAUGUCCAUGACUAAAUUCGAUUAAAAUCUCAAUCUAAGCUUUUAGAUUUUAAAUGAAGUAUGAAUUCCUCUCCCUUAAUUAUAGAAAAACAACUUUUCAAACCUUGCAACUUUGUGAAUUGAAACUUUUGUUUUCUAUAAUUAACAUUGCUAACUUGCAACAGUUAUCAUAAUGAUUAUGCUCCCACUAGCAUAAAAAUUGUUUAUUUAUUUAAUAGCAUAACACUUAUGCUCCCACAAGCUUUGACAUGUACCCAUAAAACAGCUGGAUUUCUAGAAAUCAAUACUUAUUGGCUUCCUUACCAAAGUUCAUAUUUCUAACACAAGAUGCUUCGAUAAGACUUUAUCUAGGCUUUUCAAACUCAUACACCUUUCCUUAGAUAGCUCGCAUGUGUGUCUAAACACUUUUAGAACUUAUAGCAAUAAGUCCCAAAUGUUUAUACCUUUUCCAUUUCUCACAAUUCAAAUCAUAAUCGAAUUUGAGAAUGCAAAUAUCACAAAUGCUAUCUCCUUAAAAUCAACUUAGUGAAAGCGUUUCCUUACAAUCAUUUUCAUGAAUUGGAGAUAAACCUUAUGACACUUAGAUUUUAUGGUAUAUGUGUUCCUAUCCAUGUGAAUUUGUCAUAACCAUAAUCACAAGACAAGGUUAGUGACAAAUCCAAACUCAUAUGGAUUGAACUAGUUCAAUCUUACUUUCUAGCCACUUGCCAACACAGGGCCUGCCAUUGCUUCCAGGUUGUUAUGCAAACAAUUGAGCACUCAUAGAACUCACAUGCAUAGUCAACUUCAACUGGAAUGGGCAUAGAAACAAGAAUAUGUCAACACGAUAGGUUAUAAACCUCAAGUCGUGAGCUAGUGAUUAAUAAUAGGUUUACUCUUGAAAAGUUCUUGAACCUUUUCAAGAUCUUUAAGACUACCACUGACCUCUUGACAUAUAAUUUUCUCUUUGUCAAGAGACAUUACUUGACAAACAAAUAUUCAAGAGUUAGUGUGGUUUCUUAUCAAGACAAACACUUCACACAAUUGGUCUUAGUUGGUCUUUGUUUUAUCCAAAACAUCACAACUUACCAAUUUUAAAUGUACAAGAGUAAGAAACAUUUUACUCUACAUUUGAUGAGUAUUAUAAACCUUUAUUAAGACCAUGUCACUAAAGUUACAAUCUUGGAGUAUGACUAUAAGACAUGAUUUUGGAACGAAGUAUGAUUUAUCUUCUUGAUUUAACCAUUUCAAAAAUUCACGAUUCCUCUUCUUAGCCAUACAAAUGCACUAAGAUGUCCUUAGAGGAUCAAUUGUGAUGUGAUUUCAUAAUCACUAAGUAAUCAUAAAACACGAUACUCAUGUACUUUCCCUUCUUCUCAGAUUGGAGAAACUUUUAUCUUUUUGCCUAAUUUGAUUCUUCUUAUUCGUUCUGCUAUACAUUGAAACUUUUUCAAUGAUUCAGAAUUACAUGUAUCUUGUAAAUAUAACCAUAUUUACUAAACAUAACGAAUAGUCUUAUCGUUUUUUGUGGUGGACCUAACUGGCGCACAAACAAGUGUACCCAAUCCCCCAGUCCUUCACUUGACUCACGUAUACAUGUGAACAAGGAAUUAGUCUUAAUUUCCCAAAGACGAAGGUUCUCAUUCAUCACACAAUACAACUUGCAUGAUUCCAAGUUUCUAUCCUACUGAAACUUGGGUGAUGAGAAUCUUUCAUUAUUUGGUAAAUUAUGACACUUCCACAAACGAAAGAAUCAAAUCCAUUUUCCAAUAUGCUAUCAAUGGAAACAUAUAAGCAACAAUUUUUCACAAAUGCCAUUGUAAGGAAAUUUUAAAAAUAAGUUAAAUUUCAAAAUUUUCUUUAUUUAUAAAAAUUACGGAAAAUUUAUCCUUAGAAUGCAAAUACAUAUGAAAGCUAUGUUGUUGUCUAUUCCUAAGCAAUCUAUCAUAACUCUUAAGCAGCGGCUCAAAAUUCUGAUCAUCGAACCAUGCGAUCGAAAUCCAUCUCUUCACAAUCAGAAUCAUCUUACUCUUCCUUUAAGUUUCCUUUCAUUCCUUUAAUUCUACAAAACAUCAAAAUGUAAUUACAUUACAUCAUGUAUUAAGAAUCUCCAAAUUGGAACUUAAUAGAGUUAGAUAAUGGACAUACCUGAAGCAGAGUCAAAAUUUUUGACUUUACCAUCCUUGUAAUCUUUCAAGUAAAUAUGGAAGCUUCGCAACUAGUGUCCCUUCUCUUGGUAAUAGAAACAAAUGGACUCUUUGGGAAUGGUACACGAGACUAUCUCAGACUUAGCUUUUCUCUUUACCAUUUGGUCAAAUGACUUAACCAUGGCCGCUCCCUUUCCAUUGGGAAGAGAAAGCUUUUCUGGACUUCCAAUGUUUCCAUUGUCAGUGUCCAUGGAAGUUUGGGAAGUAGAUCUUCCAAUCAAAUUUACUUUACCAAUGCGCCAAAUCAUUAUAUAUUCAGCAGCAACAAGCAAAUAAAACAAAAAAAAUAAUUUAAGGUAGUUUAGAAGUUUAAAUGGUGAUUCGGAACCAAAUGUGAUGACAAUCUGGAACUGUUCUGCGCAUUCCAGACUUGUUCUCCAUGUUCCGGAGCAGUUCUUCGCAUUUUGGACAUGUUCAGAAUAUCUUUUGUGUGUUCUGGCAUACCAAAUUUUGAUGUAUAAUAGACUAACACAAUAACUAAACUAGUUUUUGGGUUGGUCCUAAUUGUAAUUAGGUUAAAAUUAAACAUAUGCAACACCAUCCAGAAUGUGUUCUUCAUAUUCCAGACAUGUUCUUCAUGUUCCGGAUUAACUCCUUUACAUUAACAAUAUUAAACCUAAACAACUAAAAGUGUAUGAAUGAUAGUUUCAUUUUAUCUACUUCUUUUUAUAUUUUAUUUUAUCAUUUUUUAUUCAUAAUUUAGUUAACCUUCAUGGAUAUUUUCCUUCUUGUUAUUUUAUGACUAUUUCGAGUAAUUUCUAGUUUUGUGAGCAUAAUUGCAGAUUUUAAGGAGACUAGGGGAGCGGGAUCUUUGGGUGGCAAAUUGAAUUGGAGGAAAAUGAAGAUUCAUGGGCUAAAAGAUCAAUGAAUAUGAUGUAAAUCAUAAGAUUGUUGAUUAUUUGAAGGCUUGGGGAAGAUGAGCUUUGAAUUUGAAAGAAAAUGGAAGAAUAUUUGUGCAUGUGGAGAUUACUGAUCGGGAGAAUACGUGAGCUAUGGGUAAUUUGGAGAAGACAAAUCGGGCUUAAAUCGAAAAAAAAUGAAGAAAAAAUGGGCUAUGAGCUGAUUGGACUUGAUCUGGUCUAGUUGGCUAAGCUUUGGAGGCCUACAACUCAAAUUAGCCCACAUCAAGAGGCACUCGUGCAAGGCACCCGCGCAUAGUUGCACGACCCGUGCAAAGACAUUCAGGGGCAUUUUCGGAAUUACAUCUUAAGUGCUAUUUGAUGAAGGUUGGUGUGCAUCUUUUGAAUACUUUCACACAUCCGAAUUUUUGUCAAUUCUCUGGAGAUUUGGGAGGUAUUAGAGCACUUGAAGAACAUCAAAAACAUCAUAUUUUUGCUCUUGAUUCUUGCUAAAUGUUUGGUACUUUUAACUUUUACUUUGUUUUAUUGAGUUUAGCCAUGCUAGGCUUAACUAAUCUUGGUUGAAUUUAGUGAAAUCAUUUGAAUAUUUAGUUGAAUGUUGAAGAACACCAUGAACUUGUUCUUGAAUCUUUAUGAGAAUGUUUUAUGUUUUAACAUCUUCUUGCUACUUGUAUGUUUUUAUUCAUGAGUUUAAAUGUAAUUGUAGUGAUUAGUUGGCUAAUUUCUUGAUUAAGUAAUGGAUCCUCAAAUUAGCAAGCAACAUGUGGUUCUUGUGUUAGUUUUCACUUCACACAAUCACAAAAACAUUUUCUCCAACAUGGCAGUGAAAGCAUUUGACUCAUCUUGGAUUUGGUUACUUUUUGGUUCUGAAUGCUAGUUAAUUAAUUACAUGCUUAAUGGAAAUUGUGACUUUAAUUAAGGAAAUAUGUUAUGAACUUCUCUAACUAUUUUAAUAAUUAAGAAGGUCUAGGUAAUCUCAAGCUUCUUGGAUUACUAUAGCCAAAUUAGAGAUUUAAAACAAGUAUUGCACAUUGGAUUAUAAUGACAUGUUCAUCAAAUGUUCAAGUGAAAGAACCUUAAGUCAACCAUAUUUCUCUCAUUGAUUUUACACUAAACUCUUUCUUUUGUUGAAUUGUCUUUUUAAAUCUUAGUUUAACUCUAGUUUCCUUUUCAACAUUUCAAAGGUNNNNNNNNNNNNNNNNNNNNCCCCCCCCAUUUUUAUUUUUAAUUUAGUUUUACAAGUAUUUGUAUAACAAGAUUUUCAUAGGAACAACAAAUUGAACCAAUCUCCGUGGAUACGAUCCCUUUACCAUUAUAUACUAUUUUAGUGUACAAGAUUUACGGUUAUUUAUUUUGUUGGCCUUGACAAUCACCAAAUUUUGAUGGCGUUGUCGGAGAUUGGUUUAUUCUUAAUCAGUUUGUUUCUCUAUGCUCAGAUCUUAUCGUACAUGUACUCUAAUCUAAAAUCUUGAAAUUGAAAAAAAAAAACAAAAAAAAAAAUAUGGCUUGGAAAUGAACACUGCUUGCAUUGAAGAUCAACUUUUUUAGUUAGCACAGUUAGUUAUGAUGAUUGAAAGUGACCACAGUGUGCAACCCACACCUCUUCUUUACGAUUUUUGUGCCCAAAAUGGAGAUCAUUUCGACAUGUGUCCAUAUUUACAAGGAGAAUGGGGAGAAUUGCAAGAGAGGGGAAGCUACUACUGGUCAAACCAAUGGAGUUAUGAUGAUUGAAAGUGACCAAAGUAGGCAGCCCACACCUCUUCUUUGAGAUUUUUGUGCCCAAAAUGGACAUCAUUUCGACAUGUGUCCAUAUUUACAAGUAGAAUGGGGAGAAGUGCAAGAGAGGGUAAGCUACUAGUGGUCAAACAAAUGGAGUUAUGAUCAGCCUCAACAUGAUCAAUGAUGGGACAACAACCAAGCUUAGGGAAAUAACCAAUACCAAAACCCAUACGAAGCAUGGGGAAAUAACCAAUACCAACCAACUCCACAGUUCCAACAACCAUAUCCUUACCCUCCUCUAUAAACUAAAAUUUCAAGCAUGUCCUUAGAGGACAUUAUGAAAAGCAUUUCCACUUCUACCCAAAAUUUUCAGGAAACAACCCAAGCUAGCCUCAAAAUCUUAAAGCAACAAAUAACACAAUUUGCUUAAUCAAUGAGUAUAAUGGAAGCUCAAGACAAACUACCAUCUGAAGUGAUCCCAUAGCAUAACACAUGUUCCAUUCCUUUGAAAGAUGAGAAAAAAAUGUAUGGCCCAAGAGUGUUAUAUGAAGAAGAAGAAGAAGAAGUAGUAGAACAACCACAAGAUCUAGAAAUGAAAUUUGUCAGACCCUUCAAAGGAUAUGUAUCCCGAGAAAGAAGACGCCCAAGUGGUCACCUACUCAGCCACCAUGUCAAAGAGGGAAGAGUUGGUCACCUUACUGAACAAGUACAAGAAAUAAUGUGGUUGGAUGAUUUCUAUUAUCAAAGGUCUAAGUCUGGUAUGGUUCUCCCAUAAAUAGAAAGUCAAAUACAAGAAAAGAGUCCCAAUGGAGGUGUGGAAAUUAAAAAAUGUCGACAUGGGGAAAAUAUGCAAGGUUAAUGGACAUCGAUUGAAUACGUUCUAUGAAGUCUUUGAUUCAAAUGUCCACGAUGUCAUCUAUUUGGAUGCCCCGAAGUGGUAAAGUGAAGUUUGGAGGCGUCUUGUCAAAGACGUUAAAGAAGGGCAUUUUUGGAAAGCAUUGUGCUUUCAUGUUUUUAAAUUUGAAUAAAGAAGUUUGAAGAUGUUUUUGGGAUCCUCAAGGAGUUUUCUUUGAAGGAAUUAACUGUUUCCAUAUGUUCGAGGCCUUCUACUCCAUGAAAAUGCAAAGAAACGGAAUAAAAUGAAGCAAAAUAAGAAUUCUCGAAAAUGCCCGUGCAGAGCUGUGAGCGACCUAUGUGUUGUUGCGCGAGUGGUCUGCAUGGACGAACCUGAUCAAAAGGAGAUGCUCGAGCAAAAAUCAAAGAAUCAUAACUACAUGGUCUGCGCGACCCGCACACCGAGCUAGACCAUUUUUGACCAUCUUUGACCAGAUCUUUAAGUGGGUUAACUUGUUGACUUUCAUUGACCAUAUAGCUUAUGAAUGCAAUCUUCUUCUUCAUUUCUCCCUUGUGCUCAUCAAGUUCUUCCCUCAAGCUCCAUUUUCUCUCGAGAACAUAAGUUCCCAAACACCCACCUUGCCGGAAAAAUCAAUAUUGUCGGAGUUCUACCGGUUGGAAUUUCACGAUACCACCACCACUGACAUUUCCCGCCUUCCGAUCCUCCGAACUAGGUCAUAUCUUCCCUUACCUUAAGAAUUGAGGACAAUGCUUGUUCUUAAGCUUUAGGUGGGGUAUUCCCUUUUACUUUUACUUUUGCAUGCAUUUUUAGUUAGGAUUGCAUAACAUAUUAGUCUUUAGCUAAUUUACAUUCAUUUUUUUAAUUCCAAAAAAGAUUUUAUUUUCUUCUUUUUAUUUUUUGCAUAACAUUUAACUUAGGACAUUAGCAUGCAUGCAUUUUUGUUGUCUGUUUAUUCUCACCCCCUUAGAUGCCAUGGAACAAGUUCAUAGUUAUUGUAUUAUUAUUGGUCCAUGAUCGUGUUGUUAUCUUACACAUCGAACCGGGACCAUUAUGUUGCAGUUUGGGACUUCAUACUUGGGAUCAAUUAUUGGAAGUUAAAGGGGUAAGUGAUUAUGGUCAUGUAGUUUUCAUGAAGAAUUAUGCAUGCAAUACUAACAACUAUAUGAUAUACUAUAGCAAUGGAUGUUUUUACCCUGCGGUCCACGCCGCUGAGAGGAUCACACUUGAUCAUGUUUGAAUCAUUAGGAUGAAGCAUUGGUUCUUGUCCCCUAGUAAAAUCCAUAUUUGGUCUCUUUACAUCAACAUUUUUUGUUGCAAUUUUCUUAGGUUUUUGGAGAAUCUUUUAGUCUACACUUAGACAUUUUCAUUAUAUUUUGAAAAUCACAAGUUUGAAAAGGAACCUACAACUUUAUGCUCCACACAUUGGUCAUUUUCAAAAAUUAGAUCAUUCGGAUUACUAUCUUUUGGUUCCACUUACAUACUUUUCGGAACCAAAUUUUGAGUCAAAAGUUUUCUUGGUAAAAAUUCUGAUAUGUUACAACGUUGCCUUCAAGCAUGAAUAAAAAAUCAAAAAAAUCAAAAAAUAAAAUAAUAAUAAUAAUAAUAAUAAUAAUAAUAAUAAUAAUAAUAAUAAUAAUAAUAAUAAUAUACACUUCAAAUCAAAAAAGAAAAGCUCAAACAAGGAAUUCUAAGUAGAUGGGUGACCGGUUCAAUUAUUGAACAAGUUUUCUUACAUUUUGGUCACCCGACGAUUGAUAUUCAUUUAGAUAUGUAUGUUUUAUUGUAUAUAGAUCGAGUUGUUUUUCGCAGAUUGGAGAUGUUAGGGAGUCUGUCGAGUCGGAUACUACAGGAUGUUCAAGUCAACACUAAGUGAACUGAUUCCUACAACGAUGCCGAAGCGAUGAAACCAAAUCACACAUUAGAGCAACCGUCAUACGUGAGAUCACGCAAAUUUCAUGAUUAGACUGUACACUUAAAUAAGAGCUCCACACGAGCCCGUCCAUUUGCUUUCUCCCUACUACAGAGGUUCUUCAUUGUAUGCAUGUUCCAUUGGGGUUGCGACUGACCAUCCCUCCUUACUCGUUUAUAGGAGUUGUUCUAGCUGUGGUUUAUGGUUCCAAUGUCACAAGAAGAAAAAUUAUUGGGAUAAUAACAAGAUCAAUUCUGACCAUGUUGACUAACUGUGAUCAGGUUCUAUGGUUCUAUCCAUUUUUUUUUGAUAGUUCAUCCCAAGUCAUUUUAGUCUAGUCUUACUUGAGGAUAAGGUUCAAGUUUGAGGUGAUUUGAUGGUUUCAUUUUAUUUACUUCUUUUUAUAGUUUAUUUUAGCAUUAUUCAUUCAUAAUUUAGUUUAUCUUCAUGCAUAUUUUCCUUUUUUAUUUUAUAACGAUUUCGGGUACUUUCUAGUUUCGUGAGCAUAAUUGCAGAUUUUAAGGAGACUAGCAGAGCAGGAUCUUUGGGAGGCAAAUGGACUUGGAGGACAAUGAAGAUUCAUGGUCUAGAAGAUCAACGAAGAUGAUGCAAAUCAUGGGCUUCUUGAUUAUUUGAAGGUUUGGAGAAGAUAAGCUUUGAAUUUGCAAGAAAAUGGAAGAAUAUUUGUGCAUGCAGAGAUUAUUGAUCGAGCGAAUAUGUGAGCUAUGAGUGAUUUGGAGAAGCCAAAUCAGACUUAAUUGAAGAAAACUUGAAGAAAAAAUGGGCUAUGAGCUGAUUGGACUCGAUAUGGGCCAGUUGGCUAAGUUAUGGAGGCCCAAAACUCAAAUUAGCCCACAUCAGGAGGCACCCGCGCACGAUUAAACAACCCGCGAACAGACACACAUGGGCAUUUUUGGAAUUCUAUCUUGAGUGAUAUUUGAGGAAGGUUAGUGUGCAUCUUUUGUAUACUUCUACACAUCCGAAUUUUGGUCAAUUCUCUGGAGAUUUGGGAGGUCUUGGAGCAGUUGAAGAAUAUCAAAAACAUCAUCUUUUUGCUCUUUAUUCUUGCUAAAUGUUUGAUACUUCUAACUUUUACUUUGUUUUCUUGAGUUUAGCCAUGCUAGGCUUAACUAAUCUUGGUUGACUUUAGUGGAAUCAUUUGAAUAUUUAGUUGAAUGUUGAAGAACUCCAUGAACUUGUUCUUGAAUCUUUAUGAGAAUGUUUUAUGUUUUAACAUCUUCUUGCUACUUGUAUGUUUUUAUUCAUGAGUUUAAAUGUAUUUGUAAUGAUUAGUUGGCUAAUUUCUUGAUUAAGUAAUGGAUCCUCAAAUUAGCAAGCAACAUGUGGUUCUUGUGUUAGUUUUAACUUCACACAAUUACAAAAACAUUUUCUCCAACAUGGUAGUGAAAACAUUUGACUUAUCUUGGAUUUGGUGACUUUUUGGUUCUGAACGCUAGUUAAUUAAUUACAUGCUUAAUGGAAACUGUGACUUUAACUAAGGAAAUAUGUUAUGAAUUUCUCUAACUAUUUUAAUAAUUAAGAAAAGUCUAGGUAAUCUCAAGCUUUUUGGAUUACUAUAGCCAAAUUAGAGAUUUAAAACAAGUAUUGCACAUCGGAUUAUAAUGAUAUGUUCAUCAAAUGUUCAAGUAAGGAAACCUUAAGUCAACCAUAUGUCUCUCAUUGAUUUUACACUAAACUCUUACUUUUGUGGAUUGUCUUUUUAAAUCUUAGCUUAACUCUUGUUUCCUUUUAAACAUUUCAACAGAUCAAAAACCCUCAUUUUUAUUUUUAAUUUAGUUUUACAAGUAUUUGUAUAACAAGAUUUUCAUAGAAACAACAAAUUGAACCAGUCUCCAUGGAUACGAUCCAUUUACCACUAUAUACUAUUUUAGUGUACAAUAUUUAAGGUUGUUUUAUUUUGUUGGUCUCGACAACCACCAAUAAAUGAAGAACUUACCCGUAAAACUAUCAAAUCUUCAUAAUCAUGUGUCAUAUCUUCUUUGAUUCUUUAGCCCGAAAUAUGUAGAUAUUCCAAAAUAAAAUCGGGAAUAACCUUUUGUACUUUGUGCUUCGGAAUAUGUACGAAUGGGUUGAAUGGGUAUUCCGGAAUGCAUCGAAUGGGUUGCGUCGGAUCCUCAUAUUCUGAUAUUGUCUCUGGAAUGGCCCAUUUCGAAGAAGAUUGUUAUUUUACAAAAAAAUAAAUAAAUAAUUAAAUCAGUUAUUGUCUUCAAAUAACCAAUAAAAUAUGGUUAGAUUAUUUAAUUUCCCUUUUUAUUAAGUCUUUCAAAUAGUUAUUCUACUUUGAUUGUUAUGCAAUCUAAUAACUUGUAAAACUUUCCAAACUACUAUUUUUGUAAUACCAAUCGUCCAUUUUUUGAUGCUUCAUUCUCAAUAUGGUACUUAACAAGUUACUUGAUGAUUUGUCCCACUCUGUGCAUUUAUUAUAUUUGUACUUUGACAUCGUUCAACUUCCAUCCUUUCUUGCAUUAACAUAAACCAAUAUUAAAUAGGCUUUGUCAUCUUACAAGUUACAAACACAUAAGCUAAUAAACAUAUUCUAAUUACCAUUUCGUUUUCACAUUUAUAGUACAAUCCCAUUCUUUUUCUUUCCAUUAAAUAUUGGAGUGGAGUUCACAACGCCAUCUCAAUUUCAACGAUCAUUAUCUUUCAAACAAGCAUAACAAUUUCAUUUUGUUUUCAUCUUUACCAAAAGAGUAAAAAUAUCAAUUAUGUGACAUAUUUAACUAGUUAUCCACCAACUCUAGAUUAUAUGAAAUUUACAAGCUCAUUUCAAGUGAUCUUUCAAGAAUCCAACACUAAUUCAAGCAUACAUUUACAAUUUCAUUCAAGAUUUUAACUUGGGGUUAGGAACGUUAAAAUAUAUCUAAAUGAAUGAUACCGGUAAAAAUUGGUGAUGUUUCAAACAUAACAGCCACAUUCGCCCAUUUAUAUCCAUCCAUAAUCAUCGUUUGCCGGUGUCAUCGCUACCAAUAAACACCUAACUUUUCCUUUCUCUCUUUUCCAACACUCAUACUCAUUUGAUGACUCUUAGGUGUUGUUUGUUUUGGAAGUGAUUAAAUGUCUUUUGUCUUUUUCCAAGUUUGCGGAAGAAGACGUGCACUUGCGAAACGUCUACCCGCCAGAAGGAAAAAGUGUUCAAAAAGUACUUUUGUAAAAAAACAAACCAGCCCUUACUCUCACUCUGAUUAUCUUUAUCUCUUUGUCUAUGUCCUCUUUCUCAAUCUUUCUUCUCAUCUGUUUUUUUCUAUUUUUUUGUAAACUUAUGACUAUCAUACCUCAAUCCACCCCCUUUGAUCACCUUUUUAUUUAUAACAAAAUAAAUAAAAAGAAUUUUCAAUUUAUUUACCGUUUUGGGCUUGAACAUCUUUUGAGUUAAACUUGAUAAAAUCUCAAUGAUUUUGUUUAUUAAUUAAUCUAACGAUAAAGAGGCCCGAGAAUAUUUUCAUUUAUUUUGGGAUGUUAUACAAAGCAUUCACUGUGUCGUAUGGGUGGUGUGUAAGGUCUUGAGAGGAUGUCACAUUAUCACCAUAUCUUUGAAGUAAUGAGUGUACUGAAUAUCCUAAGAAACGUUGAUUUUCUAGAAAGAGAAUGGUUUGUAGGCCCUUUUAGUUUAAUAAUUACAAAAACAUAUAUUAAUAUAAAUGACAAAAAAAUAUAAAAAUAUAUCUAAAUGGAAAAAUUAGUAAUUUUAUUUUGCAUAAAGGCAUAAACCACUUGUGCAACAAACUGAAAUUUUAAAGAGAUCAUAUCAAAUUCUUGAAGGUUGGACUCAAAGUGAGAACUUUUAAAUAUCAGAAGGGGCAUUUAUGUAAUUUACUCAAAAGAUAAAAGAACAAACAAGGUUUUCAAAUAAAAAUACAUUAGAAUAUGUCCGAUCAUUCAAAGAUAUGUGGUUGCUUAGCUAGCUUCACGUUUUCACAAACUAGACGACAAUCGGCCUAAAAUGCCAAAGUUUUAACCCGCUUUCCGUCCCUUUUCCUUUUUUGUCUUUUACCUUUUGUUAUAUUUUUAUAUUUUUUAAAUUUUUAUUCAUGUAUUUAAAUAAAAGAGCCUUUUUUCGCAACCUUUUUAGUCCACUUAUAACGAGUUAGCCAUUAAACGUUAUAUAAUAUGAGUGAAAUUAUAGAGAAAUGAUGCCAACAAUAUUAUUAUGCGAGAAUAACUGAAUAAGUGCGGAAUUUAUAUAUAUAUUUUUAGUUUAUCAAUGUAAAUUUUAAAAAAAAAAAUGUUGAAUUUGCAUUAUUUCAAUGCGUAUUAUUAUACGAAUUUUAAUUUUCUUAAUAAAAAUACAUAUAUUAUUUUUAAAUAAACAAAUAUUUUUACAGUUACAUUAUAUGGAAAUAAAGGAAAACAAGACAAAAACAGAUCUCGCAUGGAUUGCUCCAAUCAUGUCUUCUUUGUCAGCGCAAAGUAGAUAAAUCGUAUAUAUCAUUUUUUUAAAAAUGUUUUAUUCAAUUUCUCAUUCUCCAUUUUUUUUCUUUUCAUAAAUUACAAUAUUUAUUAGUUUGUUAAUACUUAAUUUUUGUAAUUUUUUAGAAGUUUGUUUUAUUUUAUAUUUCUUUGUGUAUAUUUUAAGUAUUUGACCACCAUAUUUUUUAAGAUUAUAUCUGUAUUUCUAUAGCAAAAAUAUUAAUCAGAAAGCAUAAUAAUUCAUGCCAUCAAAUUUUGUUAUUUUGUUAUAUUUUAAUAAAUAUAAUAAUAGUUCAGUUGUUAUAAAAUUACAAGUGCAUCUAUUGAAACACAAACUUAUCCAAAAAUAAUAAUAAUAAUAAUAAUAAUAAUAAUAAAUAAAUAAAUAAAUAAAUAAUUCUUAUGGAUUCCAAUCCAUUACGACAUUUAUUGGGAUACCAGAUUUGACCUUACGUGUUGUUCAUUAGACCAUGGUGGCCAGCAUAUCCCUUCUCCAAUUUUCGUUCUCAUUGGUUUCAUUUAUUGUUCUUUUUCUUUACCACCAAGUGUAUUACUAUUCUUAUUUUCCUCAAUAAGUUACAUUUUUCUAUUGCUAUAUAACAAGAUUAUUAUUUCCAAAUAUAUCUUAGUUUCUAAAGAUUUUAAAAAUAUAUAUUUUAACAUACCUAAAGAUUUAUGUAUGUACAAAUUUACAGCCUAAUUGUUGAGAUUUUUGGCUAAAAGUUUCAUGAUUGUAUAUUGUUGUCGUAAGUAUUAGAUAUGUAAUGAUUAUGUCCUCCAAAGCAAUGACAUAAAAAAUUUGAUAACACACUUUUAUCUGAUUGUUUUAGAAUAAAUGAGUAUGAUAAAUAUGUAAAUAUAAUAUCUAUGUCAUUAUAUGUGGACUACGCUUAUAAUGGGAACCAAUUAGGAUGUUAUAAACCAAACCAAUAAAAUGUUACACUUUUCAUUUGAUAUAGAGGAUGUGAGAGUAGCUGAUGUUAUUUUUGGUGUGAAAGUAAGUAAACUAUGAUAGUUAUAUUCUUACUCAUUCCCACUAUAUAAAGCGCAAGCUGGUUGUUAUCCUGUUUAAUCAUUCUAGUCGUUUUCAGAAAAAUUUAGAUGAUAUUAUAGUUUGUCUUGAAUAUACUUAAGUUCUUGGAUAGAUGCAUAUAAUGAAUUGCACUAGAUCCAACCAUUGCUAUUUUGUUCAAUAUAAUGUUUUUCUGUAACUAGCUUCUUGUUGAUUUGCUGAUAUAAUUUUCGUUCUAGAAAAUAACAUUAACUGGAGUAAAUAAAUAUAUAAACUUAGUGUCCAUGUUCAUCAUAAAUAUGGUUCCAAUUUAACAUGUCUUGAAGUCGACAUGGGAGGUGGCGCUCACUGUGCAAGUUCAUAAUAAAAUCGACCCACAUAUGUGAAAUAUAUGAAAAACAUUUCAAAUGAGUUCUCACAUGUUUUACUUUUAAGAGCUUUUAACUCUUUGGUGUUCAAUUUUCUCUUCUAUAGAUACCGUUUGUUUGUCACAUGGUUUGCGAAACAUUGUGUGAGAUUUACCAUCAUUAUAAAAACAAUAAAAAAGACACAUUAAAACAAAUUAUUAGAAUCAAAUGAUACAUGAUUUUAUCAAUGCAUAAUUAAACUUUAGGAUAAUGAAUAAAAGAAGUAUGAUAUGUUUAGUAAAAGCCGUGACAUAAACUUUGUGUUUAUCACUUUAUGACUAUACUCGUCAAAAAAAUUGCUUUUAUUCAACAUACAUAGAACUUUUGGCCACUUGUGAAUACUACUUAUUAUAUCAUUCUCCAAAAAUAAUAAGACAUAUCAAAUUGACUAGAUCUAUUAAAUCAAACGAGACAAUAGAAUAUUUAUGCUCAUCAUAGUAUUAACAUAUUAUAUAAUGGGGUAGAGAAAUUGACAGGAUUCAAGACAAGCGUCUCGAGCAUGUAUCUUCCAAACUUCAUAUUUUCUUGAAGUAUUUGAAUACUUUAAUUAUUUUAAAAGUGAAGAUUUAGAACAAACAACCUGUGACUAUCAUUAUUUUAAUUUUUAUAGAUUAAAACAAAUAGAUAUUCAAUUACAAGCACUUUUAAGAUAUUAAAAUAUACCGUAUAACACUGAACCCAAACCCGUAUUGUUCUUUACAAGCCUAACAUAUAUAUAGGUUUUCAAAUAACUUUUUAUACUAUCUUAUUUCUAAAUUCUUCUCAAAGAAAAAAUUUAAAAUACUUAGAUUGAUUAAAAAAAACAUUUGAUGUUGAUAAUCUGUUAACAUGUAUUUAGUAUUUACAUUCAACUAAAAUUUCAAGUUGAAUGAAAGCAUCGAAGAACAUUCUUCCAUCAGAUACAAACAAAUAUAUAAACAAAAUAGCAACCAAAUUAAAAACCAAAUGAUGCACAGCAUCUAUAUCAUCUUUGAUAAUACCAAAUAGUCAUAACACCAAACGUAAACAGAAAACCAAAAAAAAAUCCAUAACAAAACCAUGUUUAUAAUAACAUGGCAUUUAUUUAAUUAAAUAUUUUUUAUUAAAACCUACUCAUACUCCUUUUCUUCAUUCUCCUUCUCUUUCCACCCUCCGCUUUUCAACACAGACCUCGGAGACCCACAGCAGCUCCCACCUUCCUUCACAAACUUGAGAUACACAAUCGAUUCUCCACCACCAAUUUCUUCAUAACUUUUUUCUUCCACCCCAUACCCUUCAAUCUCAAUUCCGCUUCCAAUUCCGUUUCCAAUUCCUCCACCAACAGCAAUCGAAAACUCACCAGGCUCAAAACAAUCCAACACCCUUCUCACAAGGCUUUCCAAUCCAAUCUCCUUCAAGUCAUACCCAACAGCCUCAAAGCUCGCGUAACUAAACCCAUCUUCCGGAGUCACAUGAAUAGUUGAAACAGCGGAAUCCUCAAUUCCAUUCAUGGAGUACCCACACGGGUCGAAUUCAAAGUCACAGAUUCCAGAGUUUGGGAGGAUCGAACGGAUACCGGAAUCGUUCGUCAUUGUUUCUGCAGAACUCCACUCGGUUUUGUAAAAGACAGAAGCUUUUUCACGGUCUAGAGUCGUCAUGCACAUCUCGAGCGUGUACAUGUCACCGGAAUCGGAAUCAGCAACACCGGAAUCAGAAUUGGCAAAAGCGGAAUAAACGUACCACUUGUUAGGCUUGUCAAAAGCACCCAUUGCAUAAGCUUUGCUUGAUAACCCGAGUUUCUCAAAAUGGGAAUCGAGAACUGAAACUUCUUCGGUGAAGCUUCUAUGUGGGAAAGAUUGAGCUCCGGGGAAUAUAAAACUGCCACGUGUAUAUCUCACUGAUCGGACAGUGAGAGAGAGUGUCGCCGCUAGCUUCAGAAUAGCUGGAAUCGACAACAAAAGCUUGGUGGUCCCACAUGUUUUGAUUACGAGUUUGUAUGGGAAAAUAAAAAGACUCGAUUCUGAGAGAACGUAAGAGUCAACAUGGUCGUUGGAGAGAGAAGACACGAUUGUGCAUUCAGCUGGGGUUAAAAUUUCAUCGAUUUGGGUCUUUGAGAGGACCCGAAGACCUUGACCAUUCGGGUCGGAAAAGAUGCUGGGCUCGAAGAAUGUUAGUUCGAGUCUUUUUUCGUAACCUUCAAAACCGAUUGCAGAAACUUGUUGCGCCAUUUGAGCAAGAAGAGGAGAAAGAUGAGAGAAGAAGAAAAGGGAAGAGGGUUUUUUUACUAAUUCUAAACUAAUUUGAAAGCAGUAAAAUUAAAAGCACGUCAAGUGACGUGAAGGGGAAAGCGAUUUAGGGAAUAUCAGGAUGGUUUGCGAGCGCACUGUAAAAAGAAAAGAAAAAUAUAAUUAGUAUUGAAUUCAUUGAUAGAGAAAAUGGAAUUGUAAUGGAUGGAAUGGAAUUUGGUAUUGUGCUUACGUUGGAGUAAGCAGCAGAUCUGAAUUUCUUGAUUCCUCCGUUUGGGCGAACGUCUUCAAUGCUGUAUCCUAGGGGAGCUUCAUAAAACGAUUUACUACUACUACUACUACUAGGCUUUUUCCCACCUUUGGUUUCCAUUAGAACAUUCAGUUUUGUCCUGUAAAUCAAACGAUGUUGAAAGAUUAGUUAAACGAACAAAGAAAUUUGUUUAAAACUAGUGGUUUAUAUAGAGAGAUAAUGACAAAUGAAAAGAAUGGUGAAUGAACGAAUAAUGACAAAAGCAAGAUUAUGAUGUUACGUUACAUUCUACAAGAAAAAGUUAAAAUCAACGAUUAAUCUUUUGUAGUUCAUAAUCGUUUCAAACUUUAUGAUUUGGUAAACAAAGAUAAGAACAUAAAUCAGCGUUUAUUCUUUUGGGAUUCACAUUCAAGAUCUAAUUUAGUUGAAAGAACAACGUUAAACACACCAACCGAUAGCUAAUCAACUUGUUUUAGUUGUUUAAUUGGAACAGUAAUAUUUAAAUGUAAAGGGAACUUGAACCAAGAACACAAUUAUUACCAUAUAAAGCAAAAAAGACAAGUAAAAGACCCACUUCAAUCAUUCAAAUCGGUUAAGCCAAUGAUAGAACCAAAAAACGUGUAAAAGGGUUAACAGACAAAACUAUAUUUAAGAUCUAAAGAGAAAGUUUCUUCAGCCAUCAAAAAAGGAUUCCCGAUCAAGCCUCAAAAACUUAUGAUAAAUCAUUGAGAAAUUGAAAACCCUAGACAUGCGUACAGGAGUGCUUACGUAUAUACAUUCAUAUAAACACAGACAAGAUCAAACAACUACGAUCUAAAACGAGAGGUGUUUGAACUUACAAUAUAAAUUUUGUUGUUGUACGACUCCUCUAGAACGAAAAUUCAGAUCUCCGAUCUGCAAUAAAACCCUUAAAACAUCAAUGAAAAGAACACAAAACACGAAUCUCAAACCAAGAAGAAGAAAGAGAAUCAAAACAACACGCUUACCUUGAUGAAGAAAAGAAUAAAACGAUCGACGAUGAAUAUCAAAGAAGAGGCGUGUUCUUUCCUUUGAUUUUUAGGGUUAUCGUGAACGUAAUGUUGAUAGACGGCAGAGAUAUGAGGGUAUAUAUAAGAGUUUGUGAUUGUUAUCAGCCACUAGUUUACAAAAAUAUUACGAAUAUGCCAUCGGGUGCAGUUACCUAGAGACUUCUCUGUGGUGUAUAGCGUCACAGCCACGAGUUUGGAAUAUUUGACAGCUAAUGAGAGGAAAUACGAUUUAGUUUUAAUUUUUAAUUUUUAAUUUUUAAUUUUUAAUUUUUAAUUAAUUGUGAUUUUGUUUUAUUAAAAUUUUUUAAUUACAUUAUUUGAUGAAUCUAAUCCAAUGGCAUUGAUUCAUUUAUAUAUUUAUUUGUGUAAUCCUUAUCUCUAAUAUCUAAACGUUACUAAGUGUUUAGUUUCCGUUAUUAUUUGUUUUUAAAAGAGCUAACAAAUUUGUUAUGUUUUCAUUAUUAUGUUGUACAAUUUAGAAUAUUGAAAUAAAAGUUUUCUACUUUUUGAAAAUAUUGAAAUAAAGAGUUUUCUACUUUUUGAAUAUUAAAUAAAUAUAAAAUAAUUAUUUCCGGAAACCACUUUCCUCUUUUUUUCUCUAUAAACUGUUAACUAUCAACAAGCAUUGAAAAAACAUUUUCCAUAUGAAGAAUAUGUUGGAGUUUAAUAGUGUAUUGUAUAUAUGUAUUAACUAUCAAGAAGCAUGAAAAAAUAUUACUAACAAUGUAAUUUGAACAUAAUGGGUCUUGGAAAAGUAAUGAGUGAUAAGAUUGAAAUGAUAUCAAUAUCAUUAUGACACCUUACAAUAAUUGUGAGGAACAAAUGCAUAAAAAUGCAAGUGUUGCAUGUUUUAAAAACGAGACAACAUGACCAACAAUCGAGAUAGUCAUAUUUGUGAGGUUGAUUAUACUAUUGAACUAAAAUUCAAUCAUUAGACAGUUUUUUUUUGCAUGUGUCUGAACAAUUUUUUUGUUUCAAGUUGUUGGAUUUUGAUGGUAGUUUAAAAUAUAAAUUAAACUAAGCAUAAAUAUAACCAUCAAGAUAUUCCACGAAUUUAUGUUCAACGAAAAAUUGCAACAAAAGUAAUCCCUAACAAAACCAAUGUCAAUCCACGUCCUUUGGCAUAUAUUGAAAUUAUUUUGACCAAAAAAAUAUUGUAGACUCUUGUGGCCAAUGUAAAGUUUACACGUUGCUACAUAAAGCUUAUAUUUUCAAAUCUUCAUUACAUGGAUAACUAAUGUCAACUUCAAAUCAUGUAUGAGGUAAUUUAAUUCCUGAAUCUUUAAAUGGUAAGAGGUAAAAGGAAUAAACUCUACAUUCAUCAGGUAAAGGAGAAAACAAAUUUGUUAUUUCAGAAAAUUCCUUAAUAGAUAGUAUUUGGUAAUAACUUGUUGGAUCCAAAAGAUUAGAAUUUCGGUUGGGCUUUUAAGUGUUUCCUAUUUCAUGAUUGCUCUAAUUUUGUAGCAUCUACUUUAAUACCAUCUCUACCCUAAACUUGGAAUAUUUUGAAGCUUCUCCCUUUUGAGUAUUUCAAGUAUUUCUCUCAAUUAUGUCUUAUGUUCUUAGUCGUUCUUUGGAGUAAAUUAGUAUAUCAUCAAUGAAUAAAAUCACAAACUUAUCGAGGAUUGAUCAAACCAAAAGAAUAAAAUCACAAACUUAUCGAGGAUUGAUCAAACCAAAAGACAUAAACAUGUCACUUCUACUUGGCAAUAUAUAAAUCAAAUAUUAAUAUUAGAAAAGAAGUUUUCCUCAUGUAAUUGAUCAAAAAUAUCAUCAAUCCAUGGGAGUAGAUAUCAUUUCUUCGUCACCACCUCGUUAAGUUUCUAUAGUCGAUGUACAUUCUCCUUGGUCCAUCUUUCUUAUUAAAAAAUAUGAUCCAUAUAACGGGAAGAGCCUAGACGAAUGAGUUAUUUAUCCAUUAUUUCUUAAAGUUGAGUAAUAACGUAACACCGUAAAUUUCAAACCAAAUUUUUCAAUUUAAAAACGCAAUUAUCUCAAUUCAAAAAUAACAAAAGUGUCACAAUAUCAAUCAUCAACACAUGUUCAAUAUAUAUAUAUAUAUAUAUAUAUAUAUAUAUAUAUAUAUAUAUAUAUAUAUAUAAAUCUUAAGAAUNUCAAUCUCUGAUGUAUGUAUAAUCAAACCGAUGUUUUCCCAUGAUCCUGAGAAGUACCUGAAACACAUAACACAGUAAGUACGAAGCUUAGUGAGUUCUCCAAAAUAUCACACACAUCUCAUUAGCCACUCGCUGCUAACUCAAUACGACCUUCCGGUCAAUGUGUCUCGGUGGAGACCCUCCGGCCCCACAACUCGGAUGGACCCUCCGGUCCUAACUCAAUAAGCUCAUAAUAAUAAUACUUAGCAUAAAUCACAAAGACAUAAUGCAGAAUAUCACAAUACACAAGUAAGCACAUAAGACAUCUCAGUCACACAAGAUACCACUCAUGGUAAGUAUAGUGAGAAGACUCACCUCGCAAGAAAUCAGCUAAUCUCGAACUCAAAUCACCGGUCUAGCCUCUGCCUAACACAUACGACAAUUAUCCCUAAUUAAUCAUAGCUCUCAAGAAGCUAAACUAACCAUUAUACAGACUCACAAAAGGGUAAAAGACCAUUUUACCCCUCAAUGGCCAUAAUUGUCCACAAAUUGACCAAACCCUAAAAGCCAACCAAAAAGUCAACGACAAAGAGUACGUUGCGCAUACCAGCUCUCUACGUUGGGCAUACUCAACUGCCAUGAAUGCAUUGGAGAUGCUCGACCCCUACGUUGUGCGUGCUGGGAUUACGCCCAUUGUACGUCCAGUUUCACUCUUCUCACUCGUUUGGUCUUAAUCAGUUAAGACCUUGGCUCAUAUCACAGAUCUGGACACCCUAAUAGCUCUUACUCCAUAAAGUCAGUGACUUUAAGCCUUUGCAUGGUUGAUAUGGUCACAAACACACAAGACACUCACUUUCUUAACUCAAAAGCUCAUAACUCAUGCAUGGCUUGAAUCCAACAUCCAGGAUUGGAUUUUUAUGACAUUACACCACUAAAUACACUCAAAGGGGUUUAUCAUAGUCUCUGUAGCUCAAUAUCUCCUAAAGUCUCCAACUUUUGGGAUAAAACCCUAAAAUACUCUACUAUGAUGCACAAAACAAAAGAGUGAGAAAGCUUGAAGCUUUAUACCUCUGUAUGAAGCUCCCAACUCAGAUAUGCUCAGAUCCAAGGGCCUGGACUCUCACUCCUUCUUCUUCAAAGCUUUUUCUCCACUUCAAGAACACACAAAGACUCUCAAAGGCUCUCAAAUGCACUCACAAGCUCUAAGAACGAAAGUUAGGGCACAAGAGGGUUUGUUGUCUGAGAAUGGUGGCCAGGAAUGAGGCCAUCAUAACCUUUAUAUAGGGGACUCACCCUAAAUUAGGGUUUUCAGUCUGAUCCUAGUACGCCUAACGUACCCUCUGGUAUGCCCAACAUACUAGGUGGCUUUCGCGUCAAAUGCACGCAUAUGAGUACGCUGAGCGUACACUCGCAUACUCAUUCACCACCUUUUCUCAAAAAGGGACUAAAAUGGACAAGUACUCAAAAGAUCAAGGGUUACAAGGUAUACCUGGACUUGGGAUGUUACAAAUAAAUUACAUCAUUUCAGUCGGUGCUAAAUGAUAAGGUAUCUUAGUGAUUGGUUUUGUUACCGAUACCAGAUCAAUCGAAACUCUACUUAACACUUUGGUGGUAAUCCAUAAAGACUGUUAGGAAGACCUUAGGUAUAUUCUAGUACUACAUCAAUAUCAUUCAUCUCUUUAUUUAUUUUUCCUCAUAACAUCGAUAACAUAAUCCAAAAAUCAAUGACUUCCAUUUCCUAACAUCUUCUUUACUUGAGCAAAAUUAUGAUGUAAUAACUUGCUCUUAGUUUUUCCCAUAAUUAAUGAUCGAUUUUCCAUUGGGUGAAUUCACUCUCACCAACUUCAUUCCCACAAACAUUUUUAACUUGAUAUGUUGUAACGCCUGAUAGUUCUAAGGUAUCUAUUUGAAUUUGGUUAUUUAUUUAUUUUGAUUUUUGGGCCUUGAGGUCAUUCGACUUAUCUAUUUUGGGCAUGAGGUGUGUUGCGCGGGGCGUACCACCCCAUGUACAUUGGACGUACUAUAGUAAAUGGAUUGUGGAUGCCAUGCACGUAUGUGCGGCGUACAUGUCCAGACCCUAAAACCCUGAUAUUUAGGGUUUAAGCAUUAUUUAAAGAACAUUAUGUCAUGAGGAUCUUUUCUAUCAGCCUCCCUCUUGUCCCUAAUCAUCCUCCACGAAACCCUAACUCCAUUGUUAAGUGUUCUUGAGCUUAGAAGGUCUUUUUGAGUAUAUUUUGGGUGUUUUUAAGGAAGGAGAUCAUCUUGAUGCUUCAUUGGAGGAGUGAGAGCUUGUAGAUCCGGAUUAUGUGCUCCAUUUCUAGCUUGUGUAAGGUAUAAAAUUUGAUCUUGAUCUUUAGAAGCAUAUAUAUUCUUGUUUAAGCUUUUGGACCCUUUUUGGUCCCAUAGAUGAGAUCUUCUGGUUUAAUACCACUUCAAAAGCUUAGAGUUGCCAUUCUUGGUGUUCCUUUAGUCCUAGAUUCAUAAAGUUGUCACCUUUGAAGCUUAGAUCCAUCCAUGCAUGAGUAAUGGCCAUUUUUAUGAAAGUAGAAUGUUAUAAAUCGAAGUUGGGAUCUUUUGGGGCAUGCAAAGUCACCAAGUCAGUGACUUUAUGGUUCUAGAUAAUCUUUGGGCCUAAAAUCUGUGUUUUGGACCUUUGGACCUAAGCAUCAAGAUCUUAAUGGAAAAGUUGGCUUAAUGGAGGAGUACGCUAGGCGUACAAGUCUGUACGCGCAUCGUACAAGCCAUGCAGUGUGUACGCUUAGCGUACAGUUGAGUACGCCCCGCGUACUCAGUCUGUUUGGGCUUCAUAUCUUUGGGCCUUGAUUGGGCCACUUCUUUGGACCUUUUUACUUUGGGCCUUAUUGAUCCAUCUGAAAUCAGGCGUUUGGACUAAGGAAAAUUAUUGGGCUUUAGGGUAAGGCCUAUAUGAGGGGUUUGGGCCCAAUUUGGAAAAUUGGGUCGUAAGUGGGCUUUAGAUGAUUAUUUGGUUUUGGGCCUUCUAGAUUGUGGACUUGGGCCUUAGUCUUGGAUCAAACUAGGUCAUUUUACCCCAAGUUUGGAUUAUGGUUAUGAUUUGGAACCUAAUUGUUAAUUGGGUGUUGCUUGGAUUGUCUAGCUCAGGGAGUUGUCAGGGUAGCUGCUAGGGAUUUCUUUCAGUGAGAUUCAGCAUUCGAGGUGAGUUUCCUCACUAGGAUUAGUGGGUCUAAGGCACUAAUGUUGGACCUUAUUGGUUAUGAUAGGAUGUUAGGAGUUUGCAUGACAUUUGCAUGUGUUAUGUGUUGUUAUGUAUAUCUGGUGAGGCCCGAUGACUGGAACAUAUGCUAGUGUUUAUGAUCAUUAUAUAUGUUAGCAUGAUUAUGUGAUAUAUAUUGUAUGUGUGUAGUGGGCAAUGCUCAGUGACAGGCGAGGCCUGAGAAUAACAUAUAUGUAUGGUAUGGGGUAGCUUAGGUUGACUGCAUCGCACACACCAUUGGGAUUCUGCAUUUGAGAUUUCACUUAUAUUUUUAUGACAUUUGAUACACUUGUUUUAUUUGGGAAUGUAUGAAUGAUGUUUGGACUACUGUUUUACUUAGAUUAAAAAUGAAAUUUUUGGAUCAUAUUUUUGGGAUGUUUCAUAUGUACUCAAUCAAUACAUGUACAACACUACAUUGAAUCCACUAAGUUGCAUAAGGAUAACAUCUUCCGAAAACAUAAAUUCACUAAGAUCCACCCACACAUCACUAAAUUAUAUACUAAUAGUCAUUAAAUCACCAUUGAUACUCUACUAACAAAGUGUAACAUCUUAAAAUUGGGCCUAAGUGUUUUUCCCUUUUAGAUAGGAAAAUAGAAAUUUAGAAAUGCAAAUAAAUAUAAAUAAACAAGAAAAAAGAAAAAAAAUAAAAUAAUAAUUUGUUUUCUAUAUUUUAAAUAAGAAUUUAGAAUGAAAUUUUAUUUAGUCUUUAAAAGUCAAGAAGAAAAUAAAUGAGAGACUAGCUUUGCUAAAUAGCAAACUUGAAGACUAGUUUGACUUAGUCAAAUUACCGAUUUGAUAAAAUUAAGUGUUAUAGGGACUAAAUUAUGAAAAAUAGAAGUUGCAUAAGUUACUUGGUUGAAUGGUGUCAAAAUAAGAAACAUGAAGCUUAGGGGUCAUUUAUGCAAAAUAUCAAAAGUUAGAAGCUAGUUAAUGGGUAUUCUCCCUUGUUUUCUUUAGAGGAAUGAAUUGGAAGGGGAAAAUAUCCUCUAAUGGCAAUUUUAGAGGCAUCCAUGAAGAUCUAGGGUUGCAUUUGAAAAUAAAGAACUAACAUUCAAAGUAAAGCAUCUCGAUUGGUGAUUUGAGGUAUAACCUUACCUAUUUCUAUCUAGUUUUGUAAUAUCUUAUUCCAGGUACAUGCAAUUUAAUUGUUUAAAAUUCUUCAUGGAUGGACCUAGGACAUUUUGGACUUGAAAUUCGAUAUUGGGUUUGUCCAUCCCAGAAAGCAUGGAGCAUUGUUGUAAAGUGUGUGGUUGCCCAUAUUUUUAGGGUUUAAGAGUUAUUUAAAGACACUUAAGCCUCUAAGAUCAUAUCAUUCUUAGCUUCCAUCAACCUUAGAGAGUGUUUUAGCAAACCCUAGCCCCCUUCUCAUAUUUGAGCUUAAAAUCCUCUUGAGAGCUUACCUUUAUCAUCUUUGUGGUCAAGACUUGAAGAAGAAUACUCCAUUUUGGUGUGUGGAAGAAAGGGGUGUUGUAGAUCGAAAAAUAUUGCUUAUCUUUUGGAUCUUUGUGAGUAUAAAGCUCCCAACUUUCCUUCUCAUAUGAUAGAUCUAGCUAUGUCUCCCUAUUUAUGCUUUUAGUCCUAUACUGAUGAUGAGAUUGGAGUAUUGAUGACUUCAUCUCUUUCUAAGUACCUAGAGUUGUUAAUUGGACCAUUCUUAUUAAGAAAGUUAGAAUCAUUAAGCUUGUUCUCUUGUUCAUGCAAAGUAGGUUGUCUUUUGGCCUCUUUUGAUGUUUAAGUUUAGAUCUUGUAGAUUUGGGUUCAUAUAUAAUGGAUAAAGUCGAAAGCUGUAUCCAUUAGGACAUCGUGGGAGUCUAGAACUAGAAUUUGGGGCCCUGUCUUAACUAAUUAAAACAAAAGUCAUUGAAAAAUUAGCUAAAGCGUGAUGCGCUUUUCCUAAUCGUGUGGCGCUUUUUAGAGUUUUCUACUAUGAGUUGGUUUUGUUGAAAGGGGUUGACUGUUUUGUCCCACUGUGAGCUUCAGGCGCUCUUAGGAAGCUCGAUGCAUUUUUUACUAGACUUUGACUUUUGUUGACUGUUGGCUUUUUUACUAGUUUGACCUUGGGUCUAAUUUAUAGGUUUGGGGUUUUUGAUCAAGGUGUGACCUUUGUGGGGGUGAUAGUUGGAUCAUGAGUCUGUCAUGUGCGAGGAAUUGAGAGUGUUGCAGUAUUCUCCGAAUUUGCAUUUCAUGUGAGUUUCCUCACUAUACUAUUUGUUACAGUGUUUGUCCUUAUAUGGUAAGAUGUAAGGAAGUAGUGGCAUGCUAGUUAGAGUACCACUAGAACAGUGAUUAUCAAAUUGAGUGUCAUAAGGCUUGUAUGUGGUCAUGUAGCAUAGUCUGAAAACUCUUGAUAUAGGUUUUCUUGCUUGUUACUUGUUUGGUUGUGGCUCUAGAGCAGGCUUAUCUGUUCAAUUGACUAUUAUACCUAUGAUUAGAUACAAUUAUUUAUUCAACUGUUGAUCUUCUAGUCGUGGUGUAGUAUACAGUAUGAGACAUGUAUAUGUUUUAUUAGGUUGUUAGACAUGUAGACUAGUAUAAGCAGUUGCUUAUGUUGCUACUAGGUUUUUGGUGGUUUGUUAUAUAUGUCGUCAUAUGUUGGGAUUGUGAGUUGAGGCAAUCAUGCUUUGUGUAGUAGGCCAAGAUAUUUAGGCAGGACAACGGUAUGUUGAAAGUCUAGGUGUGGGCCAGUUGUAUGUUGUAGGGAAGUAGGUGGUGGACAAGUCAUGAACUAAAGGCAUAUGUGUGUGUGGUUAUACAUAUAUUGUGGUAUAUGGUAUUUUGGAGAAACUCAUUAAGCUUUGGCUUACAGUUGUGGAUAAAAUUUGUUCCAUGUACUUCGAUUGAUCGCGUGAGGGCGAAGGCAUGACUAUACACACCUAUCAGUAGAAAUUGUGGUUACACAUUAUUUUGAUAACUCUGAUUUUCUUAUAAAUGUAUUUUAAAAAAAUGAGAUUUCAUGACUUGGGUAUUUAUGAAAAUGUUGUUUUAGCCUAAUUAAAAAUGAAAAAAUUUUGUUGUCAAAAUGGGACGUUACGAGUUUUUAAUCUAAGGUUUAUAGUGAAGCCUUAAAUCUAAUGAUAGUGUUUAUUAUGGUAGUGAGAUUUUGGUAUUUAGACUCGUCUUCUUCAUUGUACCAAACCAUUGAGGUUUAGAGCUUCAAGAUCCAUCAACGGUGGAAAAGGGAUUAUUAAAGUUAUAACUACGUGUUAGGUUAUACUUAGGCAAUGAUGAGUUGUAAUCUAGCCGCUAGUUAUGAAUUUGGAUUCAAAUGUAGUUUUAUUAAGUGUUUGGAUGAAUGGAUUUGUUAUUUUCUAGUGUACAAUCAAGUCUCAAUAUGAAUACAUUAGGAUUUCUAUGUGUUUGAAUCCACAAAAUGUAGUGGAAUUAGGAAUUAGGGUUCUAAUGAGGAAUCUAUGAAGUUUUAAAGGAAACUUCUGUGGUUGGAUGAAUUAGAAAUAAUAACGGUCAUAAAUGAGGAUUAUAAUUCAUAAGUUAAGUGUAUAGAGUAUUGAAAAUUAUUUUGUCAAACACGGUCUAACGUUGUUGAAGUAAAACUAUGGAAUCAAGAUUUUCAUUGAUUUUCAACUAAGGAAUCAUCAAUUCCAACCUUUGGAAUUCAUGGAUUUUAUUACUCCAAUGAGUAUUAAAAGGUUAUAAUGUGAUAUAGGAGUCCAAUGAUUUAUUAGAAUGUUGUUUGUUGAUAACCAUAUCCAUUGAGAGCUUAAUGGCUAACUAGGAUGCUUAGAUGUCAUUGUAUGCUUUCCUUUGGCUCUUGUGAAGUAUAAAGUCUUAAUGAUUAAGUCACAAUGAGGAUAGGAUGUAAUUAAGUUCAUGUAGUGUUAAUGACCCUUAUUUAGUCUAUUAAAAUUCUUUUGUAAAGUUUGGUGAAUAUUGGAAGUCAAGUGACCAAAGUACAUAACCUUUUUGAGAUUUCUGCAAAAAACACUACUAGAAAAACAGCCUUUUACGACGCGCAAACCAUGACAGCCGGUGAUUUAUGAUACGCAACUGUGUGUGUCCAAAAAAUAAUGUCAUCUCUGGCAAAAUUUAAAGGAUUUAGGAUACGCAUUUCCGCGUGCCCUAAAAUUAGUGUCUAAAAAAAACACGGAGGGCACCUAUGAUAAAAUGUGUGUCGUCUAACGAUGUCGCUUUAUAAAUUUUAAUAGAACGCACAUUCAGGGGGAAAUGAAACCCUAAAAAAUUAAAAACCUCGCUUCAGGCUAGCACCUUUAAUAUAAUCGAACACCUAUGAUAUUCCUUCAUCUUUCCAAUGGCGUCAAGAGAUCUAGAGAUCGAAGAAGGAGGUGAAAGCAUCAAGAAGUUGUAUGAAUGAUAUUAGCAUUAGGCAAUCUUUCAUGUUUACCUCUUCCUCCCAAAUCCUUCGAUGAUGGAGCCGCCAUACACUUGGAUCCGAUAACUAAAGCUCCACAAUAAGCCCUAGUACUAGUCAUUUCUUACUUCAACUUCAACCUCCUUUAACCCUAGUUUUCUAUUUAGUUUUUACGAUUGACUAAGACCGAUUCUCGAUCUCCCUUAUUCUCUCUAACCCUACACAUCCAUCGACCAUUCACAACCGUCAGGCCUCACGCAUGUACACCUCAAAUCACUCAUCGCACCUCCGUCUCUACCGCUAGCAUACCCAAGCAACACCUUCAACGCACAUCUCCUAUUUUUCUCUUUCUACCUGUUGUAUUCCACCACCGUCUUUUCACCACCAACAUAUCUUCUCCUUCAUCGUUCUUGAAGAUGUGGUUGUUAAAUCCACAAAAUGUAUGUUUUUUUUCUAGCUACACCACUGCAGAUCUCGUUCUGUUUGCUUAACUAUCGUUCUUGAAGAUGUGGUUGUUAAAUCUGUGUACUUAGUUCGUAUCAUUAUCUCUAUUAUCAUUCUCUCUGUUUUACUAUUUGUUUUAAAAAAGGUGAAAAUCCCCUAAUUAAGGAUUUUCUCUACGGUAUCCAAACACUUAUCGUGCACACCAACCGUUUGUUUUUAUGUCAGACUGAACAUCAAAAGAUUUCGUUGAAGAAAAGAUGUGUAAAAUGAAGAAACUGGUGACAGGGUGAACUACAAACAACUUGAAGAUGAUAUAGAUGAUUGAUUAUGUGAGGAUACGAAGAAAAAAAUUUGGUAGGUUUGUUGGUUCAUCAUCAUUAACUUCUGGCUGGUUGCAACUGAAUUUAACCUGUAAGGAUUUGACUUUGACAUGAAAUUCCUUUAGGGUUUCAAGAUAGUAACAACGAAAUUGUGGUCAAUCUCUCUCCUACAGGUACCGUUACCUUGAAAAUUUUUUUCUAUAAUCUUUUUGAGGUAUUAUUUUUAUAAUAAGGGUCUAGAUUGUUAGCACUUGGUACUUCAAAAAUACAUCAAGGAUCUUGAUAUUUUAAGAUUGGUAAAAUUUGAUACUCAUAUCUAUACAUACCCUUAAUUUUGAGUUGAUAUUUGGUUACUGAUCCAUAAAGUAACAUGAAUAUGCCAUAAAUCCUAUAUUUCUUCCUUGUUACAUCUUUGUUUUUUAUAAUAGGUUUCAUGUAUUGCAGAUGGUGGAAAUCAUGGUUGAUGGGCAAAGUUCGGUAAAGCAUGGUAGUCAUCAAAUUGCCAUGUUAGUUACUGACCAUUUAUUUUUACAUACAUAUCAACCUUUCUACCAACAAGUCAUCUGCAAAGGAGUUUUCACAUUUAUUCUUGUUUUUGACCUAUUCUUAAGCUUUAUAAGAGCCCCAUCCAUAUAGAGUACUGACCAUUUAUUUUUACAUACAUAUCAACCUGAACCAUAGGGAGGAUGGGUGAAAAUAAAAGAACACAUAAAAGCAAAGUGAAGUUACCGAAUGACAAGUGGCAUAAGAUACAAAAGAGAUUGCAAAAAGCUAAUUUUCUUAUGAUAACCCAAGAAAAAGAAGUGGAUAUGGCUUUCAUAUUGACAGCCUUGGAGCGUUCUUUUUCUUUUUUCUUUUAAAUUCAUUGUAGUUAAGCUUUCUGUUAGAUUUAACUUGAGCAUCAAAAUGGUAAAUUACUAAGCUUUUGAUGUGCAACUAAGUAUUAACAUCACAUGAAUAACCAAAUCAUGAAAUAACUAGUAACCCAACUACCAAUUACAUAACCGAGAACAUUAGAUUAAACAAAGUGCAGUAAUAUUUAAGUAAUAAUUAACACUAAGUUAGUGAGCUUUUGUAUAUCAGAUAAAAAAAGUGCGGAUGUAAUACUAAACACGUAAUCUUAAUAGAAGUAUAGUAAUUUAAUCAUAAAAAUCGUAAAAGAACAUGAUAAAAAAUGUAAUUCAACUAUUCAACUUAGUUUAAUCAUUAUAUGAAAAAAUAAAUAUAUGUUUUAUUACAAAAUGGUAGAAUUGGAACCUAACGAGUCACAUUGGUUUCGGUUUUAAAGAUGGGUUGUCUGUCCUAGUGUUCGCCCUUAUUAAUAGGAGUCACAUUAGAGUCUAGCUUUCAAAAUAAGUUGUUGGUUUGACUAAAACAUGUCCUCGCAUGGAAUUCUUGAUUAAACGUAUUAACUAUGAUUAAUAAGUAUUUGAAAUUAUGAAUAUUAAACUCUUUGUUUUUUUACUCUCUGUGGUUGAUAUUCAGUAUGUAUAAAAUAUAAAUCUCAUCAUAUUUCAUACCAACAAAUAUCAAUUUAUUAAUUAUUAAUGAAUUAAAAAUUAUGUUGCAGACUCAGCUUCUGAAUUUGGAGACUUUACUUGAUAAUAGUGUUGGCCAAAAUGUGGAGUAACGGUUUGGAAGGAGUGGCACACCUUUGACUGUUCAGUUAACGGUAAGCUUCUUUUUACAUGGUAUCAUUUCCCUGUUUCAUCUAUACAGUUACAGUUUCAUUUCAAUUAAUCUACAUUUAGAAAAAAAAAAUCAAUUUUUGGUAUUAGCGGAUAGUUAUAUAAUGUGUGGAAGGGCUAAAAUUGUAAAAAUAGAGGCUAGAGAAUAUAUAUACAGUUAUUUUGAUAUUAGCUAAUAUUUAUCUACCUGUUCACAAUUUGUACUUGUUAACUAUAUAUAUAUAUAUANNNNNNNNNNNNNNNNNNNNNNNNNNNNNNNNNNNNNNNNNNNNNNNNNNNNNNNNNNNNNNNNNNNNNNNNNNNNNNNNNNNNNNNNNNNNNNNNNNNNNNNNNNNNNNNNNNNNNNNNNNNNNNNNNNNNNNNNNNNNNNNNNNNNNNNNNNNNNNNNNNNNNNNNNNNNNNNNNNNNNNNNNNNNNNNNNNNNNNNNNNNNNNNNNNNNNNNNNNNNNNNNNNNNNNNNNNNNNNNNNNNNNNNNNNNNNNNNNNNNNNNNNNNNNNNNNNNNNNNNNNNNNNNNNNNNNNNNNNNNNNNNNNNNNNNNNNNNNNNNNNNNNNNNNNNNNNNNNNNNNNNNNNNNNNNNNNNNNNNNNNNNNNNNNNNNNNNNNNNNNNNNNNNNNNNNNNNNNNNNNNNNNNNNNNNNNNNNNNNNNNNNNNNNNNNNNNNNNNNNNNNNNNNNNNNNNNNNNNNNNNNNNNNNNNNNNNNNNNNNNNNNNNNNNNNNNNNNNNNNNNNNNNNNNNNNNNNNNNNNNNNNNNNNNNNNNNNNNNNNNNNNNNNNNNNNNNNNNNNNNNNNNNNNNNNNNNNNNNNNNNNNNNNNNNNNNNNNNNNNNNNNNNNNNNNNNNNNNNNNNNNNNNNNNNNNNNNNNNNNNNNNNNNNNNNNNNNNNNNNNNNNNNNNNNNNNNNNNNNNNNNNNNNNNNNNNNNNNNNNNNNNNNNNNNNNNNNNNNNNNNNNNNNNNNNNNNNNNNNNNNNNNNNNNNNNNNNNNNNNNNNNNNNNUAUAUAUCUUGCUGAAAAUCAACAUGCCUAGAAUUCAAAAGAGGCAUUUUUGGCCUUAGGGCAUUCUGCCAUCUAUAUAUAAUAAGACUUUGCAUAUGAUCUUAAACUUAAUUUAGGUAUAUAUUUUUUUCAUGAUUUUUUCAAGAAAGAGUGUUUCGUAGUUGUUGAACAUGAUCAGUUAUUUCUUGUGGGCAAGAUUGUGCCUGUAGAAGCUUAAAACGAGUAAACGGUGCAACAAAUUGAAAUAUGUAUGUAGUCUUCAUCUAUUAUAUUCCAAAAUAAAAUAAUAGGUUAGGUUGAUAAAAAAAAAGACUAAAAUACCCCUUGGUAGAAAAUUCAAAAAUGAAAAAUCUUACUCUCUUUAACUGUGCCACAAAGCCAACAUAAAACAUCAUUAGCAAAUGCUAAGCAUACCCCUCCCUGUUCAUCAAUUGGAUUCAAGAAACAUAAUCACGUUUAAUGUUUUAGGACUUAGGAGGAGGGGUAAAUAGGUAAUUUAAGAUCACCUGCCAAUAAUUUUUCAUUUUUACCCUAUGAGUUAUAUCUUUGGUUCUUAAUCUCUUUGUACCUACAAGCCUACCAGAAUCAUCACUGCAAGAAAGAAAGGACUUAUUUAAAUCUUGUUUGCUAAAAAUAUAAUAUAUUCUUUUACAUUAAUUAGCGGGACAUACAUACAUAUAUACAAUGAUGAUAUAAGGGACACCAGCAAGAAAAGACUGGAUCUAUAAUUUUAUAAAUAAAUAAAUAUUCCCAAACACAGAUAUUAUAAAUACCCUUGAAACUGUUAAAAUAUACCCUUAAAUUUUUAUAGUGCAUAUACAUAUUUAUAAUGUAUUAGAGCUAUAAAUAAAAUAAUAUACCCUUAAAUUUUCGUUUCCACAUAAAACUCUUUCCUUCAUUAGUGGAAUCACAACAGUCCAUUUUAGCACCCAUUAAAAUCCAGAGUGCACCUAAUUUGGUUUUAAUCACAGAACAAUAUUCCUUCAUCAGCUUCUGAAGGAACCCCAACCCUAUAAACCCCAAAUUUCAACUCUUCAUCAUGAUUGAUAACCAAAUGGCACUGAUGUAAUUUAUACUUUUUGAUUUUAUGACAAGGUGUUGGAUCAUUCGUUUGUUUAUCAUAGCAUUUUACAUUUAUUAUUUCCUAUUACAACAUUUGACACAUUCACCCAACUACAGCAAUGUCAUUCAAUCAUAUGAUAAUUUUCAUUGCUAAAAUUGGUGGAUGUUUCUUAGUAUGUCAAAAAAGAAAAGUAGAAUUUUGUAAACUGAUUGAUAACUAUAGCACCGUACUCAGGUUUAUUUGUUCUCUGAUUUUUUCUUUUUAAUUUUUUAUAUAUAUAUUAACCGGUGAUUUUAGUAUCACUAGCUACUUUCAUUCUAUAGCUUGUGCAGCACAUGCUAAGGGUGUAGAUGAUAGCUUGCAGGUGAGUCAUUAUAAGAAAGGAAUGGAAUGGUUUAUUCCAUUGUUUUUUCAUAUAUCUUUAAUGUUUAUGAGUUGUUCACAUUUUUUAUUUUUCCAGGACAUCCUUCGUCUUCUCACUUUAUGGUUCAACCAUGGAGCUACUGCUGAUGUUCAAACAACACUACAGAAAGGUUUUUCACAUGUUAGCAUCAACACAAGGUUGGUUGUUUUACCUCAGAUCAUUGCAAUUAUCCACUCAAAUAAUCAUGCUGUGAGAUAGUUGAUAAAAUAUAUUCUCGUUCGCAUAGGACAAAGCCAUCCACAUGUCAUUUCCGUUUUUUCCUUUUUUACCCUUUUAGAACAUAAAACACCAUGUAUACUUACCAAUUUCAAAAUCCAUUUCAGGCUCUUAUGUACCCUCUUCUUGUCGCCUGUAAGUCAAUAAGCAAUUUAAGGAAGGCUACAACUCAGGAAGUGGUUGACAAAGUGAGGCAGCACAGUGGUCUGUUGGUUGAUCAGGUGAAAUAAUAACUUAUUUCAUGCAUAUUUUUUUUAAUGCCAUUAAAGUUGAAUUGUAGGGAUAAAUUCAAGUCACAGCAAUGUAAUGGUUUGGUUGGUUUUCUUUUCUGAUUUUAACAACCAGACACUCUCCUGCAAAUUCAAAAGGAAGAUGGCACAAGCAAGGAGUAUCCUUUGGGAGCUACCCUUGAGGCCACCAAAAAAUACUUUGAUUCAAGACGGUAUAAAAAACUUGUUGGUAGAUCAUUUUGAUUCCACUUUCAUACAUACCAUGUGUAUUAUUAAUUAGUUGAUAUUGAUAUUGUACAACUGACAUGAUUAUUGUGUAGGAUUUUCGUGUUGUUUUUUAUCAAGAGUUGGGAUUGAUAUUGAAGCUAAGAGACAUGAGGACUGGUCGGAUACAUGAAGGGUUUCAGAGCUUCUUUAGACAGCUUAAUGAUGAGUUACUGAAACAAGAAGGUGCCCCUUUAUAGCAAUGUAGUAUUAGGUUAUAUAGUUAGGGAAAGCCUCUUAAUAACAAUGUACAAUUAGAUCCCUUUAAUAUCAAUGUAUUACAAUUUUUUGACAUGAUGUUAUUGGAUUAAAUUGAUUGUUUUGGUAUAUAUUUUUUUCUAUAUUUUUGUAUUAUGCAUAAAAGAGUAUCAUAAAGGCACGUCGUAUAUGCAUAUUGUAAAUGGUUGCUGAACUUUAUGAUACGCAAAUGUGUGUCAUCUUCAUUUAUGACAGGGGCUAUAAUGAUACGCAAUGCGUGUCCUAAACGCGCGUCGUGAGGUUACGACACGCAAAUGCGUGUCAUCUUCCUUUAUGAUAGGGUCUUCCUUGAUACGCAUUGCAUGUCGUAAAUGCGUGUCGCAAAAUGUGUGUCAUAAAUGCGUGUCGUAACUGCGUGUCGUAAAUGCGCGUCGUCUAUAGACGACGCGCAAAAGCGUGUCGUCUCUCGUUAUGACAUGACCUUCCUUGACACGCAUUUGCGCGUCGUUUGAGCGUUUUACAACACACAUUGCACGUCGUAAAAGGCUAUUUUCUAGUAGUGAAAAGUGUUCAAAAAAUGUGGUCACGUUAAAUAAACGCAAGCCAUAAAGAAUAAACAUGUUUGUGUGUUACUGAAGUGUUAGGUGAACUUGAUUUUUGAAAGAACGUGUACAUACCCUAGUAUUCGACCUCCGAUUGCUCCCAAACUUUAAAUAUAGGUUAUUAGAAGGGAAAUAAGUUUACUGGUGAAUCUGAAAUGUUAAUGUGAUGUCCCAAAAACCAUUGUGAAAAUUUUCAAUUUUAUAAAGGAAUUAAAAACCAUUUUCUUAAAAGUCAAAAAUCAUCGAAAUAACUGUUUCACAAUAUGGAAUCAAAAUCAGAGUAUCAUAACAUACCAUGUCUCAAAAUCAAGAGGUCUAUUGGAUAGUGUGUAUAGUCACGCCUUCGCUUUUCCCUAAUCCUCAGAAGUACCUGAAACAUAUAAAGCCAUAGUUGUAAGUCAAAGCUCGGUGGGUUCCUCAAAAUACCUCACACAACAAUACACAUACAAUGCAUGCACACCAUUUCCUUUAGCAUAGGACUAGACCGCCUCCUGAGCAUUCAACAUUAAGCUGUAUCGCUACCUUUAGGGCUACAACAUUAACUGGGCUGCCCUGGUAUCUAGGCCUUCAACACACAGAUGGACCGCCCUUAACCCAUCUACAAUAUGUCGGCAUAUACAUAUAAACAAAUAAAAUGUCAGGAAAACAACCAAUGAUAAUCAUAACAAAUCUCCCCGCCUAACAAUUCUCUAUAUCAUACCAACAUCCUAACAUACAAAGGAUCUAUACUCUAGUACAAAUUAUAGUGAUAAAACUCACCUCACACACGAAACAUAAAACUUUUACAAAUCGAAACAUGCGAGGACAGGCACAACAACCACCUAAAUAGGUAUUUGAAGGUCAAACCUGAACCUAUGACCUAAAACCCUAAAGUGUGACCUAAAGUCAAACUUAGUCAAAAGUCAAUAGUAGAGACAACGCUUUAUGGCCAACACCAUGUUCGUGUUGUGGUGGUUAAAAGACAAAAUACUCACGUCAACUUGUUACUACGUCGUGGUAACGAGAGACAGAUCAGACAUGAGUCUAACUCAUUGCAUCGUAGUCAGUCCCUAGCCACACCACGAUCCACCUGGAAUACUUAUUUCUUUAUCAAGUUACUAAUCCUUUAAGACCAAGCCUCAAACUCUAUAAAAGGCUUAAUCAUAUGAAAAAGAGUCAUAACAAUUAUAACUUUAUGGACAUACACAACCCAUGCAUGUUCUAUACCAUUUUAGGUCAAAAAGAUGAAGGUUGUGGCCUUUAACCUUUGCAUGGACCCAAACCACUCUUUAGUUCUAGAUUUAAAUGAUAAAACACACUAGAUACACUUAAGGUUGAUAAAGUUGCAAGAUUUAUUUAGAGUUCUUCCCUAAACUCCAACCAAAACCAUAAACGGGACUCAAAAUGCCAUAAAAUGAUAAAUCUAUGAUGUUAAAACCAUCAAGCUAGGAACUUGGACAAUUAUAAAGGUCCAUAUAAAUGCAAAAGAUGCUGGAUCUAGUUAGGAAACACUAUCAAACUCUAAUCUGGGGAUGCUCUUCCUUUAAGAAUACCACAAAACACACAAAGAGGAUUAGAGUAUGAAAGGGAUGCUAGGGUUUUAGGAAUACUUUUUGGAGAGAUGGAGGUUGGGGUUAGGGAAAACCUUAUCCCUAUCAUUCUUUAAGUAAGGCUCACGAUCGGAGGUUUAGGGUUUUAGGCCCAUAAUGACAUCGUGUCGUGGACCAAUUAAAUGUUGUGUCACAAUGAUGAGGCAUUAUCACACCAUGGUAAGUCAAUCACCAUGUCGUAGACUGGGCAAAACUCCAAAACCCUAUUCUUUUAAUUUAACAUAAAAAGCAUAAAAUUAUACCUUAGUUAGAUGUUAUACUUAAAACCAUUAGAAGGUUUUUUGGUCAUAUUAUGAUAAAUUAUUGGUGAUAUUGAUAAUUGAUGUAUGAAGAGAAGUAAAGUAUAAGAUGCAUGGAAGAGAGAGAAUAUAUUGGCUUACAUUGAGGUGACUACUAUCGAAUACAUGUCCCAUAAAGUAAAACUAUCAUGUUCUCAAAAAUGAUAACGUGCUAAUAUGUUUAAAAAAUGUGUUCAUAAACUUGAAUGUGUUUAAAUAUGCUUAUAUUCUUAAAUGCUAUGUGUUUGUAAAUGUAUUCAUUCAUAACUUGAUUUUAUGAAAGAGUUUUGAAAAUAGUUAUUGAGUUAAAGAGUUUGAAUGAUUUUAAAGUGUUUUAUCAUGAAUCCAUGUAAAUGUAGGUAAAUAAUAGUGCGUCCUUCCAAAGUCCAUGGAAAAAUAUGUUAAAUGUCACACCCCAAAACCACGAACGGCGGAAACGUUCAGGGGUGGAGGACGUCAUGUACAGUAUCACAACAGUGUAAUAUAAUAAACAAGCAACAACAUCAUCCAUUGCAUUAUAAGUAAAGUUUAAUACAUGUGUGUUCUUUCAUUGUAAUAAGACACCAAAAAUAUACAAUCAAAAUAAAAGACGAGACUUGUCUGCUCCGUCUUCUCAAAACCUGGCCUCCGUACCUUUCUACUGAUGACCUGAGAAUACAAGUUAUUUUGAAAGAGGGUAUCAGCUUUAAAGCUGGUGAAUUCAUAAGUAUAUAAGUGUCAUUGCCUUGUUUGUGAAAAUCUGUUAUGAAGGCCAUGUAAAACAUUAAAUGAAAAUGUUGAUGUACGUAUGAAAAACCAUAGAAAAUCCCUUAUUUUCUAUCAGUUUGAGAUGUAGUCUUCUACCAAGACCCGAAUGUUUUGUUUGUCAAAUGAUAGUUUUUCCUUUGUAUUGACUAGUACUAAAAGUGCUUAGCCUAACUCAUCGUUUAUGUGAAUGUAUCACAAAAUAAAGUAAACAGGAAAAUGUACUACUAUAAGUGUUGUCACUGGGUAGUAGGACUAACACAACAUCGCAUUAAGCAAAAUAUGUAACCUAAUGAACAUCCGAAGAUUGUCCAAAACAAGUAUUAAUGUAAGUGUCAUCGCUGGGUACUAGCAGUAACACAAUCAUCGCAAUAAGCGAAAGGUAUAACCUAAUGAACAUCCGAAGAUUGUCCAAUUGUCCUCUGUAGCAGCAGCAGGUGGGUGGAAGGGUUAGUCCCAAUCGAUCUACCUAAUAUAAGUAGUAACCUUAGACCUCCGUAGAUGGUCAUCGACCACUGGUGCUAAUCAGUGGGGUUCGGAAUGGUAAGUCCCGCCGAGCUAUCCCAUUGAACCGAGAUAGGAAAGAUAAUUUACACAGUAAGUACUAAUAAAUCAUCCUCGUAGUCCUAAGUACAAGUAUCCAGGUAAGUGAAUACAGGAUAAUGCACCUAUGUAAAAGUGUUCCUCUAUGGUAUUGAUGUAUGUGUGUCCAUGUAGCAGGUAAGUAUAUGUAAACAUAUUCAUUUAUCAGGUAAACAUCUGUAAGUACUCAUGUAUCAGGUAAUGUACUAGUAUAGACUCAUGAAUGAACUGACUCUUGUGUGAUUCCUUGUAAUAGAAGUAAUGUUUGAUAUCUUCAAAUUAUCCCUAUGAUAAUUUACUGUAAUAUAACUGGUUGAUCAUGUAGGUUUAUACACUCUUACUACUCAAGGGUGUGGGAAACUAAAUGAAAGAUGUAAACUAUAACAUCAAUACAUAUAUAAGAAUAUAAGUGUAUAUGCAUAGUUUAGUUCAAGAAUGUAAAAUGGUUUUGUAAGACAUCUUAUGGGUUUUGAACAAUAAUUAACAAUGACUUGAUGUCAUUUUAAUAAACAUUUCAAAGGUAAAACAUUUGGUAACAAUGUGUUUUUAAGAUGUAAAACCAUUUCAUGCAUCACAUUUUGUAGCAUGUGAAAUCUGUUAAAUGACAAACACAGUUAUAAAAUACAUAUCAAUGAUUCAAUAACAUGUUUGUUUCUACUUGUAUUCCCCCCNNNNNNNNNNNNNNNNNNNNNNNNNNNNNNNNNNNNNNNNNNNNNNNNNNNNNNNNNNNNNNNNNNNNNNNNNNNNNNNNNNNNNNNNNNNNNNNNNNNNNNNNNNNNNNNNNNNNNNNNNNNNNNNNNNNNNNNNNNNNNNNNNNNNNNNNNNNNNNNNNNNNNNNNNNNNNNNNNNNNNNNNNNNNNNNNNNNNNNNNNNNNNNNNNNNNNNNNNNNNNNNNNNNNNNNNNNNNNNNNNNNNNNNNNNNNNNNNNNNNNNNNNNNNNNNNNNNNNNNNNNNNNNNNNNNNNNNNNNNNNNNNNNNNNNNNNNNNNNNNNNNNNNNNNNNNNNNNNNNNNNNNNNNNNNNNNNNNNNNNNNNNNNNNNNNNNNNNNNNNNNNNNNNNNNNNNNNNNNNNNNNNNNNNNNNNNNNNNNNNNNNNNNNNNNNNNNNNNNNNNNNNNNNNNNNNNNNNNNNNNNNNNNNNNNNNNNNNNNNNNNNNNNNNNNNNNNNNNNNNNNNNNNNNNNNNNNNNNNNNNNNNNNNNNNNNNNNNNNNNNNNNNNNNNNNNNNNNNNNNNNNNNNNNNNNNNNNNNNNNNNNNNNNNNNNNNNNNNNNNNNNNNNNNNNNNNNNNNNNNNNNNNNNNNNNNNNNNNNNNNNNNNNNNNNNNNNNNNNNNNNNNNNNNNNNNNNNNNNNNNNNNNNNNNNNNNNNNNNNNNNNNNNNNNNNNNNNNNNNNNNNNNNNNNNNNNNNNNNNNNNNNNNNNNNNNNNNNNNNNNNNNNNNNNNNNNNNNNNNNNNNNNNNNNNNNNNNNNNNNNNNNNNNNNNNNNNNNNNNNNNNNNNNNNNNNNNNNNNNNNNNNNNNNNNNNNNNNNNNNNNNNNNNNNNNNNNNNNNNNNNNNNNNNNNNNNNNNNNNNNNNNNNNNNNNNNNNNNNNNNNNNNNNNNNNNNNNNNNNNNNNNNNNNNNNNNNNNNNNNNNNNNNNNNNNNNNNNNNNNNNNNNNNNNNNNNNNNNNNNNNNNNNNNNNNNNNNNNNNNNNNNNNNNNNNNNNNNNNNNNNNNNNNNNNNNNNNNNNNNNNNNNNNNNNNNNNNNNNNNNNNNNNNNNNNNNNNNNNNNNNNNNNNNNNNNNNNNNNNNNNNNNNNNNNNNNNNNNNNNNNNNNNNNNNNNNNNNNNNNNNNNNNNNNNNNNNNNNNNNNNNNNNNNNNNNNNNNNNNNNNNNNNNNNNNNNNNNNNNNNNNNNNNNNNNNNNNNNNNNNNNNNNNNNNNNNNNNNNNNNNNNNNNNNNNNNNNNNNNNNNNNNNNNNNNNNNNNNNNNNNNNNNNNNNNNNNNNNNNNNNNNNNNNNNNNNNNNNNNNNNNNNNNNNNNNNNNNNNNNNNNNNNNNNNNNNNNNNNNNNNNNNNNNNNNNNNNNNNNNNNNNNNNNNNNNNNNNNNNNNNNNNNNNNNNNNNNNNNNNNNNNNNNNNNNNNNNNNNNNNNNNNNNNNNNNNNNNNNNNNNNNNNNNNNNNNNNNNNNNNNNNNNNNNNNNNNNNNNNNNNNNNNNNNNNNNNNNNNNNNNNNNNNNNNNNNNNNNNNNNNNNNNNNNNNNNNNNNNNNNNNNNNNNNNNNNNNNNNNNNNNNNNNNNNNNNNNNNNNNNNNNNNNNNNNNNNNNNNNNNNNNNNNNNNNNNNNNNNNNNNNNNNNNNNNNNNNNNNNNNNNNNNNNNNNNNNNNNNNNNNNNNNNNNNNNNNNNNNNNNNNNNNNNNNNNNNNNNNNNNNNNNNNNNNNNNNNNNNNNNNNNNNNNNNNNNNNNNNNNNNNNNNNNNNNNNNNNNNNNNNNNNNNNNNNNNNNNNNNNNNNNNNNNNNNNNNNNNNNNNNNNNNNNNNNNNNNNNNNNNNNNNNNNNNNNNNNNNNNNNNNNNNNNNNNNNNNNNNNNNNNNNNNNNNNNNNNNNNNNNNNNNNNNNNNNNNNNNNNNNNNNNNNNNNNNNNNNNNNNNNNNNNNNNNNNNNNNNNNNNNNNNNNNNNNNNNNNNNNNNNNNNNNNNNNNNNNNNNNNNNNNNNNNNNNNNNNNNNNNNNNNUAAGGUUUCGUUGUUAGGAAGGUUAAGACGAACUGCUUUUUCGAAGCACAUAAUGUCGGCACGAAGAAGACUCAACCAAUCCAUACCGAUGAUAACGUCGAAACAUUUAAUUGGGACUGGCAUGAGAUCUAUCUUGAAAGUAUGGCCAUCUAAAGUUAAGGUACAACCUACGUAUAUGCAGUUUGUACUCUCUGUUUUCCCGUUAGCCAUUUCUACCGUGAAUGAAUUAUCUAGUGCACAUGGUUUUUGUUUAAGCAGGUGUGCAAAUUUGUGACUUACAAAACUUUUCUCGGCUCCACUAUCGAAAAGUAUGCAAGCAUAUGAGUUAUCCAGGAGGAACGUACCAGUAACUAUCGUAGGAUCAACUAUUGCUUCCUUGUGGCCUAGGGCCAUAACUCUUCCUACCCCUCCAACCAUUCCUGCUUUAGGGCAGUUCUUCUUGUAGUGGCCCACUUCGCCACAACCGUAGCAAGUUUGGCCCAUACCAGCGUUAGGAGCCUGGGCGGCUUGAGCUGUUGGAGUCUGGCAGAAACGGGCUGUGUGCCCCUUCCGGUUGCAGUUGGUGCAUUGCAUCUCCCUGCAAGGCCCGCGGUGGUGGAAGUUGCACUUGGUGCACUUCGGGAGAGACCCAGCAUAAGUUUUUGCUGGUAAGGGGUUCGCAGGGACAACAGGAGUCACUGUGGCAACAUUGAUCACCACUAGUUGUUGUUUAUUGGAGGAUCCUUACGGAGCCCCUCUUUUCCUCUUAUUCCACCCCUUCUUGUGGUAGUCGGGGUUGGACUUUUGUGGUACAGGUGUAGGGACUGUUGUGUUCUGAGGUUUCCGGUGAUCGAUGAGAGAUUGUGCCAGUUCCUUGGCGCUAUCAAAGGUAAUAGGCCUGGAAGCGAUCACACUUGACUGGAUCUGGGGCGACAGUCCCCAGAUAUAUCUCUCGAUCUUUUUGCUCUGGAGAGCAACCAUAUCAGGGCAUAAGUUUGCCAAAUCACAGAACCUAUUUGUGUAGGUAGUGAUGUCGGAUCCAACCAUUUGUAGACCCCAGAAUUCUUGCUCGAGUUUUUGUAUUUCACCUCGAGGACAGUAUUCUUUCAUCAGCAUGUCUUUCAACUUUUCCCAGCCGAUGGAAUACGCCACCACCAAAGUUAGAUAGUUAACAUGGCUGUUCCACCAUGUUAGUGCUCGGUCAGAGAAGGUACAAGCUGCAAACUUGACCUUGUUGCCCUCCUGGCAAGCACANNNNNNNNNNNNNNNNNNNNNNNNNNNNNNNNNNNNNNNNNNNNNNNNNNNNNNNNNNNNNNNNNNNNNNNNNNNNNNNNNNNNNNNNNNNNNNNNNNNNNNNNNNNNNNNNNNNNNNNNNNNNNNNNNNNNNNNNNNNNNNNNNNNNNNNNNNNNNNNNNNNNNNNNNNNNNNNNNNNNNNNNNNNNNNNNNNNNNNNNNNNNNNNNNNNNNNNNNNNNNNNNNNNNNNNNNNNNNNNNNNNNNNNNNNNNNNNNNNNNNNNNNNNNNNNNNNNNNNNNNNNNNNNNNNNNNNNNNNNNNNNNNNNNNNNNNNNNNNNNNNNNNNNNNNNNNNNNNNNNNNNNNNNNNNNNNNNNNNNNNNNNNNNNNNNNNNNNNNNNNNNNNNNNNNNNNNNNNNNNNNNNNNNNNNNNNNNNNNNNNNNNNNNNNNNNNNNNNNNNNNNNNNNNNNNNNNNNNNNNNNNNNNNNNNNNNNNNNNNNNNNNNNNNNNNNNNNNNNNNNNNNNNNNNNNNNNNNNNNNNNNNNNNNNNNNNNNNNNNNNNNNNNNNNNNNNNNNNNNNNNNNNNNNNNNNNNNNNNNNNNNNNNNNNNNNNNNNNNNNNNNNNNNNNNNNNNNNNNNNNNNNNNNNNNNNNNNNNNNNNNNNNNNNNNNNNNNNNNNNNNNNNNNNNNNNNNNNNNNNNNNNNNNNNNNNNNNNNNNNNNNNNNNNNNNNNNNNNNNNNNNNNGAGAUCAUUCGGGAAACGACAGAGAAGAUCGUUCAAAUUCGUGAACGAUUAAAAGCCUCUAGAGACCGACAGAAAAGCUACGCUGACAAGCGUAGGAAACCAUUGGAGUUCCAGGUGGGCGACCGAGUCCUACUGAAGGUCUCACCCUGGAAGGGCUUGAUACGCUUUGGAAAGCGUGGGAAGCUCAAUCCAAGAUACAUAGGGCCUUUCGAGAUUCUCGCGAGAAUCGGCCCUGUGGCUUACAAGCUCAAUCUACCAAAAGAACUCAGUAACGUACAUCCUACCUUCCACAUGUCAAACUUGAAAAAGUGUCUAUCCGACGAGACUCUUGUUAUUCCACUCGACGAGAUCGAGAUCAACGAGAGCCUCAACUUCGUGGAGGAACCAGUAGAAAUCAUGGACCGAGAGGUCAAGCAAACAAAGCAGAGUCGUAUCCCGAUAGUGAAGGUGCGCUGGAACGCAAAGCAUGGACCGGAAUUCACUUGGGAACGUGAGGAUCAGAUGAAACUGAAAUACCCUCACCUUUUUGCUUAGUUAUUUGUAAUUUCUUACUUGCUUAAAUUCUAAUUUCGGGAUGAAAUUCCUUCUAACGGGGGGAUGAUGUAACAACCCGAAAUUUCCAUUUUGUACGAACAUUAUCUAUUCAAUAGAAACUAGUCCAGUUUCAAUGAAUUUCAGACUUGUCCGAAUAAGUUGUGUACAUUAGGGUUUACGUUUAAGGAGAUAUCAGGAGAGUGGAUGCUCAUAGGUUUGUGAAACUUGAGCAUUUCAACACUUCAUAAUGUUAAAGUCCAAUUCCAGAAUAAAAAUAUUUUCUGCCAAAAUAUUUCAGGACUAUAAAUAGAUUUCUGAACUAAAUUCAUUGAAACUGGACUAGCUUCUAUUGAAUAGAUAAUGUUUGUACAAAAUGGAAAUUUCGGGUUAUCACAUUAAAGAUAACCACAAACAUGGUGUGGUAAUCUAGACAUGCCCAUGUAUUCAAUAGGUUACCUACCUCCUGUACGGUCUGAUGAUUUGAUAGCUUGCUCAGACCCAUUAUGAAAUUAAGAAGAUAAAAGAGAAGUUCUCAAAUAUAUGUGCUAACUAUGUCAUAGUCUUCAUUGAUAUCAAAAAUAGAACUGUCAGAAAGAGGAAGAGAGGAACAGGGAUGGAUAUAAAUUGCAUCAUGCAUUGCGUUCUUUCCUUUUAUGAUGAUUAUAUUUGUUUAUAUAGUUUAUGAGUUUCAAAGAGAAUUUAGAAUUUAGUACAUGAGUUUAACUAAGAGUUUUAUACUUUACAAGUAUUUUAAGAGAAUAGAAUAAAAAGACUUACCAAAGAGCUUUAUAUNNNNNNNNNNNNNNNNNNNNNNNNNNNNNNNNNNNNNNNNNNNNNNNNNNNNNNNNNNNNNNNNNNNNNNNNNNNNNNNNNNNNNNNNNNNNNNNNNNNNNNNNNNNNNNNNNNNNNNNNNNNNNNNNNNNNNNNNNNNNNNNNNNNNNNNNNNNNNNNNNNNNNNNNNNNNNNNNNNNNNNNNNNNNNNNNNNNNNNNNNNNNNNNNNNNNNNNNNNNNNNNNNNNNNNNNNNNNNNNNNNNNNNNNNNNNNNNNNNNNNNNNNNNNNNNNNNNNNNNNNNNNNNNNNNNNNNNNNNNNNNNNNNNNNNNNNNNNNNNNNNNNNNNNNNNNNNNNNNNNNNNNNNNNNNNNNNNNNNNNNNNNNNNNNNNNNNNNNNNNNNNNNNNNNNNNNNNNNNNNNNNNNNNNNNNNNNNNNNNNNNNNNNNNNNNNNNNNNNNNNNNNNNNNNNNNNNNNNNNNNNNNNNNNNNNUAUAUAUAUAUAUAUAUAGUUAUAUAUAGUAAGAGUUUAAGUGUGUAAUACGCAUUUUUUGUAACAUGUAUUAUUGUGCAAGAAUGAACAUGAUUCAAUAGAAGAAAGUGAUAGAUUACUCUGAUAUGAUUUAGUGGAUAUAAAGAUCAUUGAAAACAAAGUUCGUAUUAAGAAGUUAUGACUGUUUGAUGUUAGGAUGAAAGUGCAUUGUUAAUUUUAGAAAGUCAAUGGAAGUCAAAGUCAAACGUAAACUCUUGGUCACCACGACAUGGUGGUAUGUUUUCCACGACGUGGAAAUGAGUGAGUUACCAAUACACAUGUCAACCGGAUAGUGACACAUGGUGAGACGGGGUCUAUUUGGUCACCACGACAUGGUAAUAGAUUCACCACGACAUGAUAUAAGGUGAGUCACCAAGACAUGUGAUGGGAGAGUGUGACACGUGGCGAAACUGAAGUUUAAGUGAUCACCACGAUGUGGCACAUAUAUAGCCACGACAUUGCGAGCUUAGAUUAUAAAUAUUAGCAUUUCAUGUCAUUUGAGGAGUUUUGGCACACAUGUUCAGGGGAGAAGCUCGAGAAGCAUUCUCGAGAGCUUGUAUGGGAAAGAUGUACCGGUGUACAUGAUAUAUAUGGUUUAUUUACAUGAUCAAUGGAGGUAUAUUUUAUCGUGUUUUAUGUAAAUAUGUUAUUGUAAUAUUUUGUUGAGGGUUGAUAUACCCGAGUAUAUAUUACAGAAUUUCGUGAUACGGUGCUAUUACGAACCCCGAUGAGUAGUUGAAUAUUUAAUGUGAACGAUAAGGGUUAUAUACCCUUGGUUACCAAGAAAUUGUAGACUGGGCUAACGACCUAUAGGGUUAAGUCGUUAGGUGAUUAUAAUUGGAAAUUUGAUUAGUUUUGUAACAAAUGGUUACUGGGUUUUUGUUAAUUGUCAGGAAAUUGAUGACUUUGGUUGAUAUAGUGGUAAGUUCAGACAAGUUCUAAUGAACUUGAUAUAUUGUCCAACUAGGUCUGAAAAAGUGAUGGAUUAGAAAGUGGUAAAGAGCUUGUUUGGAAUCAUAAUUAGUCUUCACUAACUAACAUGGCGAGUAAAUCUACUAUAACAUCAAAUAUUUAUUAAUGUGUAUUGUUACACGAAUAUAAGAAUUAAAGAUAUUAUGAUAUUGUUAUAUCAUGUAUUGUUGAAGUGAUAGAGUGUUGUAGUCUGAUGAAAUUAAUUCAGGUGAGAGUUUUUUUAUGGAACAAAAAUUAAUGUGACACUUAUUAUUGUUGGAUGUGACUCGAGCAUUUGGAUCAUGUUCAUGGAGCAUUUAGAUCAUGUUUAGGGAGCAGUUGGAGCACUUGGAACUCAAUGGAGCACUUGAGGUUCAUGGAGCAUGUGACAAAAGAACAGAUCAUAUGAGAAAGGAAUCGAUCUUCAGGCAAAGGAACGGAUCAAGUGCCAAAGGAAUGGAUCGUUCAGAAGGGGGGUUUCGAACACUUGGAAUAGGUUUGGAGUACUUCGGAGUGAUAUGGAGCAACAAGGGGACCUUGUUGCGCCAUUUGCUGAAGACUUGGGCCAAGAAGGAUGUUGUUGUUCCAAGGGUACUCCUUUUUGCGCCAAGCUACUCCCUGUUGCGCCAUGGGGUAUCCCUCUUGCACCAUAGGGCACUCCUAUUGCACCAUGAAGUAUGUUGUUAUGCAAAGCAUGGACUUGUUGCGCCAUGCAUGUUCAUGUUACACCAUGGUUGUGUUGUUGCUCCAAUAUUGAUGUUCUUGCACCACACUUGAAUCCUAUUGCACCAUCUAUAUUUUUGUUGCGCCAUGUUGGCAUAAGUUGGACCAUCUUGGUACGUGAUUAUCCAAGUAGGCUAUGAUGCGCAAGAUCGUUCAAGGAUGCUUAGAAGUUGGUAUGAGUUCUCAUUUGAAUGCAUAAAAGGCAAGGACCUUGAUCAAUGAAAGGUACUUUGAUAGGAAAAGGUGAGCUGCUUAACUACUUGGAAGACAUGGUGGGCAGCUGUGCUACCAUAAGGCAAGAAAUCAAGAUUAAGAAAGUUCGGUCCAUAUGAGUUUGAAUUUGUCGAGAACUUUGGUUUUGAAAAAUUCACAUGGAUAGGAAGGCAUACACCAUUAAAAUCUAAGUGUCAUAAGAUUCCCUCCUUCAUGAAAAUGAUUGUGAGGAAAUGCUUUCACUAAGAAAAAUUUUAAAAAGGAUCGUGACUGUGAAAUUGUAUUCUCGAAUUCGAUUAUGGUUACGGUAUCCCUUUCCAUGAUUCGAAUUGUGAGGUUUGACAAUUAGUCUGAAUUGUUUAGACGCACAUAUGAGCUAUCUAAGAAAAGGGUGUAUAAGUUCAAGAAGCCUUGAUAAAAGAUUAUCAAAGCAUUAAGUAUUAGAAACAUGGACUUAAGAAAUUCAAGAGGUAUUAAUUUUCUGGAAGUCAAGCUGGUUUCUGAAUAAAUGUCAAAGCUAGAGGAAGCAUAAGUGUUAUGUUCAUAAUAAUCAUCAUGAUAGUGGGAGCAUAAAUGUUAUGAUUGCAUGAUUAUUAAGGCAAGUAUUGCAAGUUAGCAAUAUUAAUUAUAGAAAACAAGAGUUAUACUUUGCAAAGUCACAAUGUUUGUAAAGUUGUUUUGCUAUAAUUAAGGGAGAGAAUAGUAUGCUUCAAUUCAAAUUUAAAGGUUUAGGUUGUGGAAUGUUAAUAAUUUAGUCAAGGAAACAUAGUGUGUUCUCAAAAAUCGAUUAUGAUUACGACAUUCCUCUUCAUAGUUCGAAUUUCGAGAACGUAGCACAUAAAAUAUUGUGGCAGAAGAUUGAUAAAGUAUCAGAUCUUUAUGUAAGACAUUAUGCAUCGUGUCCCAUACGCUUCGGGUAUAGGAUCGAUUGCAAAUGCUAUAAUAUUUGACCAUUCUAAAAUUUUCCAAAUGUCUAGCGCAUUUAGAGGGAAAAAGGACAAGAAUCGGUUUUGACUAAGAUAAUUAAANUUAAACAGCUAUCAAAGGACAAUCCAAAGUUCGUCGAGGAUUGUUCGCUUGUGAAUAGUUGGAAGUAUAGUAUUUGAUGGACCAUAUCGAUAUUAUUAUGAAUAGAUAAGAUUCUAUUAAGAAUGAGUUGUCAUAUGGAAAAUAUGGAAACGUGUCCAUAUUGGGAAUUGAAUAUUGAAAAUAUAUGUCUAGAUUAGAAACUUUUAUGCAAAAGGAUGUUCAAAGGAAUGUACUUUGAGUGAGAGACAUCAUAUCUAAGGAAUUGUCUUGUAACAAUCUCCGAUAGAGGACUUUGUAAUUUCAUUGGCAAUAGUCAUUGUGACUUUAGUGCAGUGAUAUUACGAAAGGGAUCAUUGCAUAAAAUGGUAGAAUCUAACAUACUCCAUAAGUGGCAAGAAUUUGAUAUUCUUUCACUUGUGAAAAGGAUUGGGAGUUGUGAAAUGAGUAUGAUUGGAAAUGUGUUCAUUUGAUAUAUUUCACAAAGUAAGAACCAUAGGUAAACAUUGUGUGCAUGCUAGGAGCAUGGGACAAGUGUAAUAAUUCAAGUAAGAAGUUGAUUACCUGAAACAACAAAUAAUGAGUAAUCGAUAUGGUGAUAAAUAAAAGGUGUUUUAUUUAUACUCAAAGGUUUGAGGCCAUAUGGGAUUAGUAUUAUUCUUGUGUUUCACUUUGCAUGUUUUGACUUCCUGAAUAAUUUAAUUGGUUAAGAACAGUCGAAUUAUUCGAACGGGCCACAGUCGUUCAUAUGUUGGAAGUAGGUAUGAAUGAAGACUGUCGUGAAUUGGUGUGUGGAUUGUCUAAAGAGUAUUAGACAUAAGCAAAUGUUUGCUGCAACGUUCAUGAGUGCUUAUGAAUAUGAUUUGAGCAUUGGAUUAAACCCACGCUCACUUGGAUCACUCCAUGAAUUGUAUCACGAGUGAUUGGUGAGACGAUAACAUCUUAUAUUCUUGAAACCGAGAUGUGUGAGUUGUAUCUUGCAAAUCGGUUGCACAUUGAUAAUAUGUAAACGCACUAGUAACUUGGUGUUAUAAAACAUAUUGUUGUGUGUGAUUCGGUGAGUGAGUGCAAGCAAGCAUUGUAUCAAAGUUUAUCCGUUCCUUUUAUCCAAAGUAGGAUAAAAGCGAUAUCUUUGGGCCCCUCGAUGAUUUAGUGAUGACAAACGUAAAUGCUCGGCCGGGCUAGGGCUAAUUUGAUUUGUUCAAUUAGUCAGUCGUCAUAAAUCGGGAAUCGAGAUAUAGUACAAAGAGAAUGAUUUGAAAUCAUAUCUCAUAUGAUAUCUAGAAUGGAGGAAUAUAUGAUCCCUUAUCUAAGGACACGCGUAUCUGAUAGGAUCAGAGUUGACAGCGGCUUUGGAAAGCUACGAUUGCAGAUCAGGAUCUGAAGUCAUACGCAUAAUAGUUAUUAGACUUAUCCAAGUGGGAGACUGUUGGAUUAGUGUCUAAGUCCAUAACUAUUUUGGUAUGUACUUGACCCGAUGGUGCAUGGUCCUUUUGGGUUGCCUUCACCAAAGCAACUUGAUAGGAUGAAUUAUGGAGAGAAAGGAUUAAAUAUGAUUUAUUAAUAUAUUAUGAGAAUAAUAUAUUAAAGGAGAAAUCAUAUUGUUUAAUUAAUAUUAGUCAAUAAUUAAUUGGUAAUUAGUUUUGUGACUAAAAGAGAUUAAUUAAACUUAAGGGACUGGAAUUGUAAUUAUAAGAUAAUUGCAAUUUGGGCCAUGGAUUGUCUUAAAUCAAGAGGUGGACGAAUUCUUAUGGGAAGCCCAUAAGGAAAUCGUCCAAGGGCUUGAUUAAAGGAGUCUAUGGGUUGCUUAGGGCUUAAGCAACCAAAUUAGGGUUUCCUUGUUAGAUAACCCUAAUAGCCUCACUAUAUAUAGAACCCUUAAGGCUCAAAAACGUGGGGAACUUCUUUUCUAGGGUUAGAACACGUUUUGGGCAGCCUCCAUCCUCUCUCCUCUUCAUCCUCUUGCUUAUGGUGUUUGUAAGCCAUUAGAGGAGUGACACUUGUGACUCUAAGCCUUCCAAAGUCAAUUCAAGGAGGAAUUGGGAUUGUUAUUGCUACAUAACAAUCAAGGUAAUAUCUUAAACCUAAUUAUAUGUUAAUAUUGAUUUCCAUAUGCUAGAAUUAGGGUUUAUAGUCUUGGAUUCAAAGCAUGUACAAUAGAGAAACCUAGAUCCAAGCAUUAGGGUUUGUAUGAGCACAUAGGAUGUCUUAUGACCAAAACCCAUCAGUGGUAUCAGAGCCUAGCUUGGUUUCAAUUGUAUUGAUGCAUUGUAUAACUGGAAAAUUCGUUUUUUGGGUUUCUGGAGGUUGGACUCGCCGAGUCCAUAGCUGAACUCGCCGAGUCCAAGGUGACUCGACGAGUCCAAGCCUGACUCGACGAGUCAACUCGUCAGAUGGAGGGUAUUUCGGGAUUUCUUGCUGUUUUUGCUUAUGGAUAGUUACCUUAUCAUAUUAGAUCAAUAUUAAUCCGAUUUUAUGAUAUAUUUGACUAUAUUUUUGAUCUAAUUGAAGAUAUUUAUCAAUUAAUAAGAUAAUUGUUUCCUUAUGUGAUAAUUGAUUAAUUAUUUUGACUAAAUUGAUAAAUUGUUUUGCAAGAAAUCAUUAAAUAAAUCAAAUAUGGAUAAUUAUGUGAUUAAAUGUUAAUUUAGAUUAUUUGUUAUUUGAUCCUUGUUGUUAUGAAAAGUUUCAUAUUUUCCCCUUUAGGUUUUAUAGUUUAAAUUUGAACCCAAAAGUUUUGUUGUUUUGAAAUUUAAAUAGUUGAAACCCUAAUGUUUUGAAAAAGGUUUCAAAACUUGCCCUCAAGUUUUGGAAUUUAAAUUUUGAUUAAAUAGUUUAAUUUUGAUGUAUAUUUAAAUUCUAAACCCUAAUGUGUUGAAAUGUUUCAAAACUUGCCCUCAAGUUUUGGAAUUUAAAAGUUGAUUAAAAGUUUAAUUAGGAAUGUUAAAUUCUAAAACUCUAGUAUAGUUUUGAAAAAGUUCAAAUCACACCCUUAUGGUUUUAUUAAUUAAUUAAGGUGUAUAAUUAAAAGAGGUUUAAUAAAUCCAUAAAAGUUUAGGUUUACAAUUUAAUUGAAUUAAAAGUAUAAUUGUUAAAUUUGACCACCUAGUAUUUUAAAAGUGUAAAAUACACCCUAUACUAUAUAUAACAUUAAAAGUCUAACAUUAUAUAUAUGUAUGAGUAAAAGUCAGUCUUACCGUUAGUAGGCCUCAUUCACGAAGCUGGUCUAUAAGGGGUGUUUAAGGAAAUUGCCUAUAAAAUGGCGAUUGAAUGGGUAUCCACUCUUACCCACCGCACUCUUGACUAGUGGAGGGUCGUUAGCCGAACGGGUAGGAUAGGACGAAACCUUCCAUUAUAAGUAUAAUGAAGUAUAAAAGUAACUAAAUGUUUUCAUAAAAUUCCCAAUCUUAGUUACUUAGGCAAAAGUGAAUUGAUGCAAUUCCAUGAAAUUACACUUUGUGCCCUUGCGAAGACGUUAGUGGAGCGUGUGUGGUUUACCGGCACACUAAAUGGUUCUAAGCAAAGGUAGCAAAGGGUGACUCAAUGUUUGUCAUAGUUCGGUGGAGCGUGUGUGGUUUACCGGCACAUCGAAUAGGUGACUGUAACAUGUGAGGGCACCAUGUAAGUUUGCAUGGUUAUUCACACCCGCUUUGUGAUCCUCGGCAUCCCAGUCACAAACAAGAGGGGCAUAUCGAGAUUUAAACAUGCCAUUGAAAUGUUCAAUGAAUCUCAAAGGAUCUAGGAGUUUUCAUAGAUUUAAAACUUAAAUUUCUUUUUCGUUUUUCAUGGUGGAAAUUAGUGAAUCGUCAUUCACUUACCUUCAAAUGUUCUGCAAUUUGGGUUACGGCAUCCCUCUCCCGAGUUGUAGAAUAUUGUGUUGGGUCCUAGCCUUAGUAUCUCAUUUGGGUGAUUUACUAAGGACUCAAUCAAUCAACUAACUUGAAUUCGUUUUCUCCCGUUUUGUAGAUGUCAAAGUUCGACAACUAUGGUCUUCCCAAAUCCCGUGGAACAAGCAUUCCACAUGAAGAUGAUAUUCCACGAUUCGAUCGAGGAACAAGAAAUCAUGCUUCACUUCCUCCACCUCCUCCAAUUAUUCUCCCUAACCCACAAGUUCAAAGGCUUGAAAAGUUCAAGAUCACUCAAGCCCUUUUGGCAAGUAAACAUAAAGAAGGAAAGUCGGUGUGUGCACACGUCCUAGGGAUGAAGUCACACAUUGAUAGGUUAAGAAUGUUGGGAUCCGUUGUCUGUGAGGAAAUGGCUGUUGAUUGGGUUCUUCAGUCACUUCCUAACUCAUAUAGUGAGUUCGUAAGAGAGUACUAUAUGAUGAACUACGACGUGACCCUUAUAGAUCUCACCUAUAUGCUUAUUGCUGCUGAAUCAGCAAUGGUUUGGCGCAAUAGAAAAGCAAAGUUGAUUGGUGAAUCUGCCUUCAAGACCUCUAUGGAUAUAGACAAUGGCAACGAAAGACAUGCUAUGAUCGAAAAGUUUGAUCACAAGAGAAAGGCAAUGUCUGAAGUAGUUCCAUGUCAUGUUCCAAAAGAGUCAAUUUGCUUUUAUUGCCAAGAGAAAGGGCAUUGGAGACGAAGCUGCCCCAUUUACCUAAGAGAUCUAAGAGAUGGGAGAGUCGAAACGUAUGGCUCUAAUAUAGGUAAAAUCCAUUAACUAACUCUUUUAAGCUUCUAUUCUAGAUUCUUAAUACAUAAUGUGAUAAGAUUACAAUUGAUGUUUUGUAGGAUCGAAGAAAAGAAAGGAAGCUUAAGGGAAGAAGUGAGCAGAAUCUAACCGUGAAGGAAUGGAUUUCGAUCGCAUUUCUCGAAGAUUAGAUUCUUGAGCUACUACUUAGAGUUAGAAUUAGAUUGCUAAGAAAGAUGUAUUAGCAUAAGUUUUUCAAUGAAUUGCAUUGUAAGGACAAAUUUUUCCGCAAUAAAAUAAAUUUUGAUUUUAAAUUUUAUUUAUUUAUCCUUACAAUGGCGUGUAUGAAAAAUUGAUGUUAAAAUGUUUCUAUUAUUAGCAAUAAUGGAUUUGGUUCUUAUUAUGUUAUUUAUGGAAAGUCGAGAAUUUACCAAAUAGGGAGAGUUUCUCAUCGCCCAAGUUUCAAUUGGACAGAAACUUGGAAUCAUGCAACUUGGUUGCACGAUGAAUGAGAAAUUUCAUAUUUGGAAAUUAGACUAAUUCAUUGACAAAGUGUCAAGUGAAGGACUAGGAGAUCGAGUACACAAAGUUGCGUGUUGAUCAAGUCCACCAUAAGAGUAACAAAGAUAUUCGUCAUGAUUUACUAAAGGUUUAGUAAAUAUGAUUAUACUUAUAAGAUUAAGUGUAAUUCUGAAUUGAUUGAAAAGGUUUAAAUCAAUAGCAGAACGAAUAAGAAGAAUCAAGUAGGCAGAAAGAUAAAAGUUUCUCCAUUCUAAGAAGAAGGGAGAGUACCUUUUAUGCUUUAUGAUAGGUCUUAAUGAUUAAGAACCAUAUCUCAAUUGAUCCUCUAAGUGAGUCUUAGUACAAUUGUAUGUCUAAGAAGAGGAAUCAAGAAUUGAAGAAAUGGUUAAAUCAAUAAGUCAAUCAUACUUCGUUCCAAUAACAAGUCUUAAAGUUAAGAUUGUGACAUUGAGUGAAAAGUAUUAAGAAGGUUUAUAACAUUCAUUAAAUGUGGAAAGUUGUGAUGUCUUGGAUAAGACAAAGACCAACUAGGACCAAUUUAUGAAGUGUUUUGAUAAAAGCUACACUAACUCUUGAAUAUUUGUUUGUCAAGAAAUGGUUAUUGACAAGAGAAUCUUAUAUGUCAAGGAGUCAGUGGGAGUCUUAAUGGUCUUGAAAGGUUUCAAGAACAAAUCAAAUAAACCUUAUCGAUCAUCACUAGCACACGAGUUGAGGUUUACAACCUAUCGUGUUGACAUUAUUUUGAUUCUGUGCCAAUCCAAUCGAGUUAAUUAUGCAUGUGAGUUCUAUGAGUUCUCAUUUUGAACGCAUAAAAGGCAAAGCACCUUAAUCAAUGAAAGGUACAUUGAUAGGAAAGGGUGAGCUGCUUAACUACUUGGAAGACAUGGUGGGCAGCUGUGCUACCAUAAGGCAAGAAAUCAAGAUUAAGAAAGUUCGGUCCAUAUGAGUUUGAAUUUGUCGUAAACUUUGGUUUUAACAAAUUCACAUGGAUAGGAACACAUACACCGUUUAAAUCUAAGUGUCAUAAGAUUUCCUCCUUCAUGAAAAUGAUUGUGAGGAAAUGCUUUCACUAAGAAAGAUUUUAAGAAGAUAGUGAUUGUAAAAUUGCAUUCUCGAAUUCAAUUAUGGUUACGGCAUCCCUUUCCAUAAUUUGAAUUGUGAGGUUUGGCAAUUAGUCUUAAUUGUUUAGACACACAUAUGAACUAUCGAAGGCAAAGGUGUAUAAGUUCAAGAAGCCUUGAUAAAAGAUUAUCAAAGCACUAAGUAUUAGGAACAUGAACUUAAGAAAUUCAAUAAGCAUUGGUUUUCUGAAAGUUAAGAUGUUUAUGAAUACAUGUCGAAGCUAGUGGGAGCAUAAGUGUUAUGUUUUAUAAUAAUCAUCAUGAUAGUGGGAGCAUAAAUGUUAUGAUUGUAUGAUUAUUAAGGAAAGUAUUGCAAGGUUAGCAAUAUUAAUUAUAGAAAACAAGAGUCAUACUUUGCAAAGUUGUAAGAGUUGAAAAGUUGUUUUGCUAUAAUUAAGGGAGAGAAUAUUAUGCUUCAUUUCAAAUCUAAAGGAUUAGGUUGAGAAAUGUUAAUAAAUUUAGUCAAAGGUACAUAGUGUGUUCUUAAAAUUUCGAUUAUGAUUACGGCAUUCCUCUUCACAAUUCGAAUUUUGAGAACAUAGCAAAUAAAACAUUAUGCGUCGUGUCCCAUACGCUUCGGGUAUAGGAUCGAUUGCAAAUGCUUUAAUGUUUGACCAUUCUAAAAUUUUCCAAAUGUCGAGCGCAUUUAGAGGGAAAAAGGACUAGAAUCGGUUUUGACUAAAAUAAUUAAACAACUAUCAAAGGACAAUCCAAGUUCGACGAGGAUUGGUCGCUUGUGAGUAGUUGGAAGUAUAGUAUUGGAAAAUAUGGAAAUGUUUCCAUAUUGGAUGGACCAUAUCGACAUCAUUACGAAUAGAUAAGAUUCUAUUAAGAAUGAGUUGUCAUAUGGAAAAUAUGGAAACGUGUCCAUAUUGGGAAUUGAAUAUUGAAAAUCUAUGUCUAGAUUAGAAACUUUUAUGCAAAAGGAUGUUCAAAGGAAUGUACUUUGAGUGAGAGACAUCAUAUCUAAGGAAUUGUCUUGUAACAAUCUCCGAUAGAGGACUUUGUAAUAUCAUUGGCAAUAGUCUUUGUGACUUUGGUGCAGUGACAUUACGAAAGGAUCAUUGCAUAAAAUGUUAGAAUCUAGCAUAUUCUAUAAGUAGCAAGAAUUUGAUAUUCUUACACUUAUGAAAAAGGAUUUGGAGUUGUGAAAUGAGAAUGAUUGGAAAUGUGUUCAAUUUGAUCUAUUUCACAAAGUAAGAACCAUAGGUAAACAUUGUGUGCAUGCUAGGAGCAUGGGACAAGUGUAAUAAUUCAAGUAAGAAGUUGAUUACCCGAAACGACAAAUAAUGAGUAAUCGAUAUGGUGAUAAAUAAAAGGUGUUUUAUUUAUACUCAAAGGUUUGAGGCCAUAUGGGAUUAGUAUUAUUCUUGUGUUUCACAUUUGCAUGUUUUGACUUCCAGAAUAAUUGAGUUUAUUAAGAAUAAUCGAAUUAUUCGAACGGGCCACAGUCGUUCAUAUGUUGGAAGUAGAUAUGAAUGAAGACUGUCGUGAAUUGGUGUGUGGAUUGUCCUAAAGAGUAUUAGACAUAAGCAAAUGUUUGCUGCAACGUUCAUGAGUGCUUAUGAAUAUGAUUUGAGCAUUGGAUUAAACCCACGCUCACUUGGAUCACUCCAUGAAUUGUAUCACGAGUGAUUGGUGAGACGAUAACAUCUUAUAUUCUUGAAACCGAGAUGUGUGAGUUGUAUCUUGCAAAUCGGUUGCACAUUGAUAAUAUGUAAACGCACCAGUAACUUGGUGUCAUAAAACAUAUUGUUGUGUGUGAUUCGGUGAGUGAGUGCAAGCGAGCAUUGUAUCAAAGUUUAUCCGUUCCUUUUAUCCAAAGUAGGAUAAAAGCGAUAUCUUUGGGCCCCUCGAUGAUUUAGUGAUGACAAACGUAAAUGCUCGGUCGGGCUAGGGCUAAUUUGAUUUGUUCAAUUAGUCAGUCGUCAUAAAUCAGAAAUCGAGAAAUAGUACAAAGAGAAUGAUUUGAAAUCAUAUCUCAUACGAUAUCUAGAAUGGAGGAAUAUAUGAUCCCUUAUCUAAAGGACACGCGUAUCUGAUAGGAUCAGAGUUGACAGCGGCUUUGGAAAGCUACGAUUGCAGAUCAGGAUCUGAAGUCAUACGCAUAAUAGUUAUUAGACUUAUCCAAGUGGGAGACUGUUGGAUUAGUGUCUAAGUCCAUAACUAUUUUGGUAUGUACUUGACCCGAUGGUGCAUGGUCCUUUUGGGUUGCCUUCACCAAAGCAACUUGAUAGGAUGAAUUAUGGAGAGAAAGGAUUAAAUAUGAUUUAUUAAUAUAUUAUGAGAAUAAUAUAUUAAAGGAGAAAUCAUAUUGUUUAAUUAAUAUUAGUCAAGAAUUAAUUGGUAAUUAAUUUUGUGACUAAAAGAGAUUAAUUAAACUUAAGGGACUGGAAUUGUAAUUAUAAGAUAAUUGCAAUUUGGGCUAUGGAUUGCCUUGUAUUAAGGAAUGGACGAAUUCUAUGGGGAAACCCAUUAGAAAUCGUCCAAGGCCUUAAUUAAAGGAGUCCAUGGGUUGCUUAGGGCUUAAGCAUCCAAAUUAGGGUUUCCUUGUUAGAUAACCUUAAUAGCCUCACUAUAUAUAGAACCCUUAAGGCUCAAAAACGUGGGGAACUUCUCUUCUAGGGUUAGAACACGUUUUGGGCAGCCUCCAUCCUCUCUCCUCCUCAUCCUCUUGCUCUUGGUGUUUGUGAACCAUUAGAGGAGUAACAUUUGUGACUCUAAGCUUUCUAAAGUCAUUACAAGGAGAAUUGUGAUUGUUAUUGCUACAUAACAAUCAAGGUAAUAUCUUAAACCCAUUCUUAUGUUAAUAUGAUUACUUGUAUGCUAGAAUUAGGGUUUAUAGUCUUGGAUAACUUGCAUGUACAAUAGAGAAACCUAGAUCCAAGCAUUAGGGUUUGUAUGAGCACAUAGGAUGUUCUUAUAGCAAAAACCCAUCAAUAAUAUAUUAAUAAAUCAAGAAAAACCUCUUACUCAAGUAUCCAUCAUAUCAAAUUGUCUUGGUGAUAUGCAACCCAAAUUGACCAUGCUACUCUCGGGUCAAGUACAUACCAAUUAUAGUUAUGGACUUAGACACCUAAUCCAACAGUCUCCCAUUUGGAUAAGUCUAAUAAAUAUUAUUGCAAGUACAACUCCAAAAUCCCGACUAGUAAUCGUAGCUCUUAAAAGCCGAUGUCGAAUUCUGACAAAGUCAAUGACACGUCCAUUAGAUAAGGGAUCAUAUAUUCCUCCGUUCUAGAUAUCAUAUGGACAUGAGACAUGGGUUAUAAUCAUUCUCUCUCUCUCCCUCUCUCUCUCUCUCUCCCCAUCUUUUGUUUCCCGAUUUUCGAUUUAUGACGACCGACUAGUUGAACAAAUCAAAUCAGUCCAGGCUUAGCCUAGCACUUAGGGUUUUCAUCACUAAAUCAUCGAGGUUUACAGAUAUCGCUUUUAUCCACAUGGGGUAAAAGGAAUGGAUAAGCUUCGACCCAAAUUUUUGCUUGCACAUACUCAUCAAAUUACACACAACGACACGUUUUAUAACACCAAGUUACUAGUGCGUUUAUGCAUGUCAAUUUGCAACCAACUUGUAACUACAACUCACAUGUCUCCGUUUCAAGAAUAUAAGGUAUUAUCGUCUCACAAUCACUCGUGAUAAAUUCCAAGAAGUGAUUCAGAUGAGCGUGGGUCGAAUCUUAUUCCAAGAGUACUCAUGAACACUGCAGCAAACUUGUGCUAUGUCUAAAACACCUAGACAAACUACAGACCCUUUCAUGACACUCUUGCCUCAAUACCUACUUCCAAAGUAUGAUCGAUUGUGGAUGGUUUGAAUAACCUAAUUAUUCGGAAGUCAAAACAUGCAAAGUGAAACACAAGAAUAAUAUUAAUCCUAUAUGGCCCCAAAACUUUUGAGUGCCAUAUUGAUUACUCAUUAUUCAUUGUAUAAUGUUUCAUAUAAUCAACUUAAUACUUGAACUAAAACAAUAGCUGUCCCAUGCUCCAAUCAUGCGCACUAUGUUUAUCUAUGAACCUUACUUUGUGAAAUAGAUCAAUUGACAACAUUUCAAUGAUGCUCAUUUCACAAUUCCAAAUCCUUACCGUAAAUGUAAGAAUAUCAAAUUCUUUCCGUUUACUGUAAUUUGUUAGAUUCUUAACUUAUAUUCAAUGAUCCUCUUGUAAUGACUAUGCACAAAAGUCACAGAGACUUGGCAACAGACAUUACAAAGUAUUCCAAUAUAGAGUAAUUCCAUGGAAGCAAAGUCUCAAAUUCAAAGUACAUUCCUUUGAACAUCCUUCUUGCAUUAAGUUUCCUAAUCUUACACAGAUGUAAAUAAUAACUUCCACUUAUGGAAACAUUUCCAUGUUCCUAUUUUGACUAUCACUUCUGAACAGGAGUUACCUCUUCUCAGAGUGUGUCAAUAUGGUCUGUCCAUUUUUAUACUUCCAACUACAAACGACCAAUCAUUGGUGAACCUUAGAUUGUCCUUAACAGUUGUUAACCACUUUAGUCAUAUCCGGUUCUAGUCCUUUUUCCCUUUUAAUGCCCUAGGCAUUUGGAAUAUUUAGAACAAAUGAAUAUUAUAGCACAUGUAAUCAAUCCUAUACCUGAAGCAUAUUGGACACGAUUCAUAAAGACAUGAUACUUGACCAGUCUUUUGCUACAAUUUUUAUAUUUUCCAUGUUCUCAUAAUUCGAAUUAUGAAGAGGGAUGUCGUAAUCAUAAUCAAGUUUUGAGAACGCAAUUAACAUUUCCAUAUAUAUAAUUUCUUUAUAUUGAACCAUUCCAACAUAACAUUCAUAUAUAUAUAUAUAUNAAAUUUGAUUAAAAAUUCAAUCUAAGCUUUUAGAUUUUGAAAUGAAGUAUAAUUUCCUCUCCCUUAAUUAUAGAAAAACAACUUUUCAAACCCUGCAACUUUGCGAUUUGAAACCUUUUGUUUUUCAAUAAUUAACAUUACUAACUUGCAACACUUUCCAUAAUAAUUAUGCUCCCACUAGCAUAAUAAUUAUUAUCUUACUAGCAUAACACUUACGCUCCCACUAGCUUUGACAUGUAUUCAAAAAUCAGUUGGACUUCUAGAAAUCAAUACUUAUUGACUUCCUUUCCAAAGUUCAGAUUUAUGAUACGAGAUGCUUCGAUAAGACUUUAUCUAGGCUUCUCAAACUCAUACACCUUUACUUAGAUAGCUCACAUGUGUGUCUAAACAAUUUUAGAACUUACAUCAAUAACUCCCAAAUGUUUAGAGCUUUGCCAUUUCUCACAGUUCAAACUCUGAAGAGGGAUGUCGUAAUCAUAAUCGAAUUUGAGAAUGCAAAUGUCACAAUUGCUAACUAUUUAAAAUCUACUUAGUGAAAGCGUUUCCUCACAAUCAUUUUCAUGAAUUGGAGAGAAACCUUAUGACACUUAGAUUUUAUGGUGUAUGUGUUCUUAUCCAUGUGAAUUUGUCAAACCAUAAUCAUAAGACAAGGUUAGUGACAAGUCCAAACUCAUAUGGACUGAACUUGUUCAAUCUUAAUUUCUUGCCACUUGGCAGCAUAAGGGCCUGCCAGUGCUUCCAGGCUGUUAUGCAAAUAAUUAAGAACUCAUAUAACUCACAUGCAUAUUCAACUUUAACUGGAUUGGCCACAAAAACAAGAAUAUGUCAACACGAUAGGUUAUAAACCUCAAGUCGUGUACUAGUGAUUAACAAUAGGUUUAUUCUUGAUUAGUUCUUGAAACUUUUCAAGAUCUUUAAGACUCCCACUGACCUCUUGACAUAUAAGAUUCUCUUGUCAUGAACCAUUCCUUGAUAAACAAAUAUUCAAGAGUUAGUGUGGAUUCUAAUCAAGACUAACACUUCACACCAUUGGCCUUAGUUGGUCUUUGUCCUUACCAAGACAUCACAACUUAUCAAUUUCAAAUGUACAAGAGUACGAAACAUUUUACUCUACAUUUGAUAAGUGUGAGAAACCUUUCUUAAGAUUAUGUCACUCAAGGCUCAAUCUUGGAGUAUGACUCUAAGACUCGAUUUGGAACGAAGUAUGAUUCACCUUUUUGAUUUAACCAUUCCAACAAUUCAUGAUUUCUCUUCUUAGCCAUACAAAUGCACUAAGAUAUCCUUACAGGAUCAAUUGUGAUAUGGUUUUCCAUAAUCAUUAAGAUGAUCAUAAAACACGAUACUAAAUUACUUUCCCAUCUUUUCAGAUUAGAGAAACUUUUAUCUUUGUGCCGAUUUUGAUUCUUAUUAUUCGUUCUGCCAUACAUUUAAACUUUUACAAUUUUCAGAAUUAUACUUAGACUUGUAAGCAUAACCAUAUUUACCAAACUUCAGUAAAUCAUGACGAAUAGUCUUAUCGUUCUUUGAUGUGGACCUGACCAGCGCACACCUAGUGUACUCAAUCCCCUAGUCCUUCACUUGACUCACAUAUACAUGUGAAGAAGGAAUUAGUCUUAAUUUCCCAAAAAUGAAAUUUCUCAUUCAUCACACAAUACAAGUUGCAUGAUUCCAAGUUUCUAUCCAACUGAAACUUGGGUGAUGAAAAUCUUUCCUUAUUUGAUAAAUUUUGAAACGACCACAAAUGAAAGUAUCAAAUUCAUAUUACUAACAUAGAAACAUACAAACAUCAAUUUUCAAAAAUGUCAUUGCAAGGAGAUAUAAUAAAAUAAAAUAAAUUUUUAUUUAUUUAUAAAAUGCGGAAAAACUUUUCCUUAUAAUGAAAUUACAAAUGAAAACUAUGUUAUUACAAAUUUCUAAGCAAUUUAUCAUAACUCUUAAGCAGCAGCUCAAAAAUCUGAUCAAUGAACCAUGUGAUUGAAAUCCAUCUUCACGACCAGAUUCAUCAUACUCUUCUUUUAAGCUUCCUUCCUUUUACAUUGGUACAAUCACAGACUUAGACUUUAUUUUUACCAUUUGGCCAACCGGGUUGAAUAUGGCCGAUCCCUUUCCAUUGGGAAGAGAAAUCUUUUUUGGACUUCCUAUGUUACCAUUGUCAAUGUCCAUGGAAGUUUGAGAAGUAGAUCUUCCAAUCAAAUUUGUUUGACCAUUGCGCCAAAUCAUUGUUGAUUCAGUAGCAAUCAACAAAUAAGUAAGAUCAAUAAGGGUCAUGUCGUGAUCUGUCACAUAGUAGUCUUUAACAAACUCACUAUAUGACUCGGGAAGUGACUGAAGAACCCAGUCAAUAGCCAACUUCCUUGGGAACACGGCACCCAACAUUCUCAGCCUUUCAAUGUGUGACUUCAUAUCCAAGACAUGUGCACGCACAGACUUUCCAUCCUUGUGUUUGCUAUCCAAUAGGGCUUGAGUGAUCUUGAACUUUUCAAGUCUUUGAACUUGUGGGUUAAGGAGAAUAAUUUGAGGAGGGGGAGGAAGUGAAGUAUGAUUUCCAUUUCCACUAAUGCACGACAAAGGGAUUAAUCUUUCACCUUGAUCGCCACAUGGGAUAUCAUCUUAAGAGGAAAGCUUGUUCCAAAAGAUUUGGGAAGACCAUAGUUGGCUGAACUAGACAUCUAUAAUGGUAGAAAUUCAAGUUAAUUGAUUUAAUUCCUUAAUAUAACACCCAAAUGAAAUAUUAAGGCUAGGACCCAACACAAUAUUUUACAAUUCGGAAGAGGGAUGCCGUAGUCCAAUUGCAAAAAUAUUUGAAGGUAGGUAAAUGACGAUUUACCAAUUUCCACCAUGACAAACGAAAUUGUUCAUUAGGUUUUAAAUGGAUUGAAAUUUCCUAGAUCCUUUGAGAUUCAUUGAACUUUUCAAUGGCAUGUUUAAAUCUCGAUUGUGCCCUUCAAGUUUGUGUCUGGGAUGCCGAGGAUCACAAACAAGGUGUGAAUAACCAUGCAAAUUAGCUUGGUACACUCAAUGUUACAACCACCUAAUCAGUGUGCCGGUUAACCACACACGCUCCAUUGAUUUAUGAUUAACAUCAAGCUACCCUUUGCCAUACACUGUUAGUCCCAUAUUAGUGUGCCGGUUAACCACACAUGCUCCACUAACGACUUAACAAGGUGCAAAGUGUAAUUUCAUGGAAUAUCAUCAUUUUCACAUUUUUCCUAAUGUAACUAAGAUUGAGAAUUUUAUAAAAGUUUAGUUACUUUAUAAUCAUCAUUAUACUUAUAAUGAGAAUUAAUGUCCUAUCCUACCCGUUCGGCUAACAACCCUCCACCAGUCAAGGAAGCGGUGGGUGAGAGUGGACACCCAUUAGACUGCAAUUUUAUAGGCAGUAACCUUAUACCCCCCUUAUAGACCGACUUCGUGAAUGUNAUAUAUAUAUAUAUAUAUAUAUAUAUAUAUAAUUAUUAAACUUAUAAUAAUAUAAUAGUAUAACGGGUUGAGUUUUAACUUUUAAAACUCUAGGGUUUAAUUUGGAAUUAAAGUAUUCAUAAGUGAAACUUUAUAAAUUCCAAAACUAGAGGGCAAGUUUUGAAACCUGUCAAAAUUCUUGGUUUCCAUAACUUAUGAGUUUUAUAUGGUUUUUUAUGAAAAAAAUUUCAAGCUCCAUAACUUGAGGACAAGCUAUGGAAGACUUCAAAACCAUUUAAAAUGACUCUUAAAAAUAAGAACUUUCAUUUUCCAUAACCUAUGAGUUUUAGUGACCUUUUAAAAGAAAAACUUUUCAUUUUCCAUAACUUGAGGACAAGUUAUGGAUUUCAUUAAAAUCAUUUAGAUCAUUAUUUUAAUUAACACAAUAAUCAAAUAAUACAUACAUGAUCUAGUUAAACUCAUAAGUCAAGAUAAUUCAUAUCAACCAUUUGCAAGAAAUUAGUCUAUCAUGUAAACUAAUACAAAUCUUGAAACUAUGACAAUUAUAUUUUAUUUGGAUGAGGACAAUCAUUACCAUAGCAACAAAAUCAAAUUUUAUGAACAAAAACUUUUUGUGAUAAUGAUCCUAAUCCAAAAUAGGCUAAAAAACUGAAAUUUUUGCCCACUGAACAGUUACCACCUCGUGGUGAUCAAGCAAAUUCCAAAAAACGAUUUUUCUUGCUUUUAAAAACCAAUAAGCAUCAAGUAUAAUAGAAAAAAACCCUAGGAUCUGAUACCACCGAAGGGUUUUAGUAUACUAUAACAUCAUAUGGUGCAAUAUUGUUUCUAAAGCAUUAACCCUACAAAUAGCAUGCAAUUGACAUAAAAAACACAAAAUACUAGUUAGGAGUUUACUUCUUUAUUUAGCUUGUAGAACUUGUUGUAUUUGGCCUUUAAGAAUUUAGUUCCCCAAAUGUUGCACCUCAAACGGUUCACAACACACCUAGGACAAAUGAGAACUUGAGAGAGGAAAUACUAGCACCCAAAUUGGCUUUAUGAUCUCCAAGAUCACUUAUGCAAAACUUGUGCAACUUUUUCCAACCAUUUUAGGCUAAGGGGUUACAUAUUUAUAGUGUAGGAAUCCAAGAAUCAUGUGUAACCCUAAUUCCUACACUUGGGCUUGUAAUGGAUUAACACCUUAUGGAACUUACAUAAGCUUAGCCCACCACUGAUAAUCCACCAUGGAUUAUUAGCCCAACUUAUAUGUAUCACUGAUCUACACAAUCAACCUUGUAUAUUUAAUUAAUCUCUUUUGAUCCCCGAAUUAAUUCCAAAUUAAUUCUUGAUCAAUACUAAUUUAAUCAUAUGAUUUCAUAUUAAUAUAUUAGAACUUAUAAUAUAGUAAUAAAUCAUGAAUAACCUCUUACUCAAGUAUCCAUCCUAUCAAAUUGUCCUGGUGAUAUGCAACCCAAAUGGACCAUGCUACUCUAGGUUCAAGUACAUACCAAUUAUAGUUAUGGGCUUAGACACCUAAUCCAACGAAUGGCACGUCUCGGUAAGAAAUCAUGGAAAUUGGAACUCCAUGUCGAGCUACUACCUCUCUGAUGUAGAUGUCGGCCAACUUCUCGGCCGAAAUGCUCUUCUGGAUCGGUAUGAAGUGUGCACUCUUGGUCAACCGAUCCAUGAUGACCCAAAUCGAAUCCACCUCCCGUGUGUUCCUGGAAAGCUUCGUGAUGAAAUCAAUAGUAAUAUCCUCCCACUUCCACACAGGGAUGUCCAACGACUGUGUCUUGACGUGAAGCCUCUGGUUCUCUGCCUUGACCUUCCUGCAGGUCAGGCAUCACUCGAUGUACCAGGCUACAUCUUGCUUCAUGCAUGGCCACCAGUAGUCAGGGCGAAGAUCUUGGUACAUCUUCGUCGCCCCAGGAUGGAUGGAAAAUCUGGACUUAUGGGCCUCAUCCAUCAAAAUCUGAUGCACUCUGCCAUAGUAUGGAACCCAGACCCUCCCAUGUAGGGUCAACAACCUACGAUUGUCAUAGUCAAACGAGGCCACCUGGCCUAUGAUGCGCUCGCACUUCCGAGACUCCUCUUUCAUACCGUCAACUUGUGCCUCUUGGAUCCACUCCAAAAAUGGAUUCACCACUGUCAUCCUCAAGAAAAUGUCUCUGAACAGGGCUGCCUUCCGGCUAAGAGCAUCGGCCACAGCGUUGGCCUUCCCCGGGUGGUAAGGAUCUCACAGUCGUAAUCCUUUAUCACAUCUAGCCACCGACGCUGCCUCAUGUUCAUAUUCGGAUGACCCAUGAGGUAGCUCAAGCUCUUGUGGUCCGUGUAUAUGGUACAACAGACCCCAUAUAGGUAAUGGCGCUAAAUCUUGAGGGCCAAAACAACCGCCCCCAACUCCUGCGUCUUGGAGUAAACCAAGAUAUCAUCAAUAAAGACGAUCACAGACCGAUCCAACAUCAGUUUGCAUACGUGGUUCAUGAGGUCCAUGAACGCGGCAGGAGCAUUGGUGAGCCGAAAGGGCAUCACCACAAACUCAUAGUGGUCAUAGCGAGUCCGAAAAGCAGUCUUCGGUACAUCCUCGUCUUUGACCCUCAUCUAAUGGUAUCCUGAACGCAAAUCUAUCUUGGAAAAUCAAGAUGCCCCCUGUAGCUGGUCGAAGAGAUCAUCAAUCCUUGGUAGUGGGUAACGGUUCUUCACCGUUACCUUGUUCAGCUCCCGGUAGUCUAUACACAUCCGAUGCAACCCGUCCUUCUUCUUCAUAAACAAGAUCGGAGCUCCUCAAGGAGAACUGCUCGGCCUAAUGAAUCCCUUGUCUAACAGCUCCUGCAACUGUGUAAACAACUCCUGCAUCUCAGAAGUAGCCAACCGAUAUGGUGCCUUGGCUAUCGGAGUCGCACGGGGGACUAGGUCGAUCCUGAAUUCCACCUAGGGGUGUAAACGAGCACAUAGAUGGUCCACAUUGCGGCCUCUCACCCUGAAUCAACAGCUCUCCCUCACUUGGGGUCCAGACACGUACCAACUGCAGUGCACAUUCGAUCACCGCCCCAUUAGGGCUCAGCCAAUCCAUAUUGAUGAUAACCUUGUUCCCACGUAAUGGAAUGGGAACCAAAUCCACAAGGUAACGCUCGUCAUACAACCUCAAAACGCAAUCUCUGGAAACCUCUAAUACCCGGAUAGAUCGGUCGUCGGCUAUCUCGACCUCUAAAGGACACUCUAACAUGCCUGAAGACUCAAAAAACCUCUUGCUAAGAGUAAGAGAAGCAAAUGAUCGGGUAGCCCCCGAGUCAAAUAACACUUGUACUAGAAUGUCGUUCACAUGGAACAAUCCUAAACAAAACACAUAAACAUAACACAUAAAUAUCAUAAACGACACAUAAUAAGAGUUAGGGAGAAGAAAACAUACCCGUCACCACAUCCGGUGCAGCACGCACCUCCUCGGUGGUCAACUAAAAGGCUCGGGUCCUCACCAUUGGAGCAUCUGUCUUGCCUUGUUGGCCAUCCGUGAUCCGCACGGUCGCUGGAGCUGGCACCGCCACUGGCGCUCCUGAUGUCAACCUCGAGCAGUUGGCCUUUUUAUGGCCCUUCUGAUUGUCAUGGAAGAAAAUCACAUCUGACAUCUAAAGGGUGGGGGUAGGGGCAGUACAAUCCCUACCAAAGUGCCCAAGAUUGUCGCACUAUAGCAGCCCAAUGAUCCUAGUCUACAAACUCCCUCAUAAGUCUUGCCGCAUUUCCCACAACGGCUCUGGCCCUGCUGGCCCUUCGACCUAGUGUUGGAUCCUUUGGGUUUCUUCCCUAAAACCCCAGUAAGCUGCCCAUCCUCUGCCUUCCUCUUCCAAAUGUGCUCUGUAUCAAUCUCCCCCUCUCUCGCCCUCGCUAUCAAGUCCUCUAAAGUCGGGUAUGCUGAGUUGCUAACAUGUUUUCUGAUGUCAGCUUUCAACAUAUCAUAGUAUCGGGUCUUCCUCAUCUCCUCAUCACCCACGUACCGAGACACCACUAAGGCCCUCUCCCUAAACUUGGCGGCAAUAUCCACCACCGACUCAGUCGUCUGUCUCAUGUCAAGAAACUCCCUGGCCAGCUGUUGAAUCUCUACAACUGGCACAAACUCAACCCUAAACUUGGUAACAAAGUCCGACCAGGUCAUAGCCUCAAUGGCUGGGGCUCCCAAAGAAUCACUAACCGCAUCUCACCAAUCCUGAGCUUAGUCUCUCAAACAAACCGCAACAUAUCGGACCUUCGAACCCUUAGGGCAUAAGCUCGUCAACUGAGCAGACUCGAUGUCUGCAAUCCACCUCCUGGCCAUAAUGGGGUCCUUCACCCCGUGGAAGUUUGGGGCACCACAUCCCCUGAAAUCCUUGAAGGAGAGUGUGCGUGUCCCUGACUGGCAAGAUGCCAUGUCACUCCUGAAAGCCCUGAGACGCUUCUACAUCAGCUCGAUGAUCCCUUCCUUGAUCGACCCGAUAAUCAUUGGGGUAGCCUCAAGGAUGCCUCUCGUGAUAUCAGGCGCGAUGAACUCGCGGACUCCGUCAUCAACUGGAUUGGGACCUGCACUCGAACCUGAACUUGAUCCUGACCCAGACCCUGAACCUCCUGCUCUGUGAAAUCUCACCACCAUUCUGAAACAAAACAUAUAAUUGUCAGGGUCAUACAUAACCUCGAGAGGUUUCACACAUUCUACAAGUUCCCUGGUUCUAUCUCAGCCCUCCUUGAAUCGAGUACAGAUCAUCUACUUUCAGUAGUACGGGCCCAUAAUACCUUCCACAUCUAUCCGUACUUUCCUCAAGGAUUGCCUUAAAUUCACCAAGUCCCUUCUACUAUUAUUGCUCGCUGCACUAAUCUUAUCCCAGGCUUACCUUUGGGUAACUCUCCAACCCACUCUCCGCCAUCAGUUGCAUAAGAAAUCCCUGCUUCCUUCCUAAAUCCUUAGCCCUAAUCUAGCAUGUAGUUCUCAUACAUAUAGCAGACAUAUAAGGCAUCCUUCCUAGAUCCUCAUCCCUAAUCUAGCAUGUAGUUCUCAUAAUCAUAUCAUAUAUCAUAAUAAACAUGUAUGGGUAUCUUGGGAAAAACUUACUUGAGCUCGACCGAUUACACGCAUCACACACCUUGUUCAUUCUCAAAACUCUUUAUUUUUAAUUUUAGAAAAACUAUUUUAUUGAAAAAUCUUUCAAACCAUCAAUUUGAGUCUAGAAACCCAUGAAGGUGUGUCUGAAUCCCUCAAACCAAGGCUCUGAUACCAACUUUUAACAUCCCAAAAUUCGAGACCAAAAAUUUCAUUUUUAAUAUAGCAAUUUAUAAAACAAUUUAUAGAAAACAUCAUCCAGUUAUUUCAUUUCAUAAAACCAUAGAUCAUAUGUCUCAAAAACAUGUCAUUAGAUAGUAAUAAUGUCAGAGUACAAAUCCCAAGAAUCUCAUAUGCGGAAAAUCGUGUGUAUGAUGUGCUGCUAUCGUGCCGACUCCUUUCCCUUUGAAGAAGAAGGACCUGAAACAAAAACUGAAAACCAUAAACAUAAAGCUUAGUGAGUUCCCCCAUCAUACCACAUACCGUACAUAAGACAUACAUAACCGGGUACUAGCUACCCAUUCGGUCUCUUUCAACCGGUAACUUGCCUAGCAUAUCAGGGUACUGGCCUACCCCUUCGGCCCUGUCGGACGGUAAUUUGCCUAACAUAUCAGGGUGCUGGCCUACCCCCUUUGGUCCUGUCAACCGGUACAUCGCCUAGCAUAUCAGGGUGUUGGCCUACCCCAUCGGUCCUUGCAACCGGUAUCAGGGACUAUUCCACCCCUACUUCUACCAUAUAACAUCCUAGUGCAUAAACAUAUAAGUCAUAUACUACUUAACUUAUCCGGGUGCUGGCAUACCCCUUCGGCCCUAUCGACUGGUAUUGGGGUCUAUCCUACCCCUUCUAUCUCUAUCACAUAACAUCAUAUCAUACUAGCAGAUAAAGCAUAACAGAUAGUGACAUACCAAAUAAUUAUCACAAAGACAAUCAUCUCUACUGUAACUCUUACUAUUGGGCCGACAUUGGUGCCUUAGACCCACUUCUACUGGAAGGUAACUCACCUCAAUAUUGUGCAGUAGCUGAACUGUCCUCGGCUAUGAAAUUAGCUCUCUUCAAACUCAAAUGAACUAGAAAUGAAGUUCUUCUUUCGGAUCCAAAGCUCUUUUCUUCACCCAAGAACUUCUAGCUUCCACUCCAGGAACCGGGCGUUACAUAUGCUCUAUGAUAGGUUAUGCAUUCAAAAGUCUAGUGCUAAGGAGAAUCUGGAAGACAUGGUGACAAAGUUGUUUCCUAGAGAGAAGUUCAAUAUAUUCUUGGACUUGGAUGUUCGCAGGAGGUAAGCCCAUUCGGGGCUUGAUGGCAGGAAGGGACAUGAAGUUCUUGUUCGAGGUAGAGUUCAGAGGAUGCUCAAGUCAAGGUGGAAAUUAUUGGAUGUGACUCAAGCAUUUGGAUCAUGUUCAUGGAUUAUUUGGAUCAUGUUAAUGGAGCAUUUGGAGCAAUUGGAACUCACUGGAGCACUUGAGGUUCAUGGAGCAUGUGAUAAAGGAACAAAUCAUCUGAGAAAAGAAUGAAACAUGUGAUAAAGGAACGGAUGAAGUGCCAAAGGAACGGAUCAUACAGAAGGGGGUUUGGAGCACUUGGAGGAGGUUUGGAGCACUUGGGAUUGAUAUGGAGAAACAAGGGGACCUUGUUGUGCUUUUUGCUAAAGACUUGGGCCAAGAAGGAUGCUGUUAUUCCAAGGGCACUCCUUAUUGUGCCAAACUACUCCCUCUUGCACCAUGAGGGUAUCCCUCUUGCUCCAUAGAGUACUCUUGUUGCGCUAUGGAGUAUGAUGUUGCGCCAAGCAUGGCCUUGUUGCACCAUUCAUGUUCCUGUUACGCCAUGGUGGUGUUGUUGCUCCAAUCUUGAUGUUCUUACGCCACACUUGAAGCCUCUUGCGCCAUCCAUAUUCUUGUUGCACCAUGAUGGUGCAAGUUGGACCAUCUUGGUCCUUGAUGAGCCAAGUAUGCUAUGAAGUCCUCUAUGAUGAUCAAGAUCGUUCAAGAAUGCUUAGAAGUUGGGCCACUAGUGUUCAUGAUGCGCCACUUGUACAUCAUGAUGCUCUACUAUGACACAAGGUGCUCCAUCAUGUGUGUUGAUGCUCAUGGGUUGUAUGACAUGGAAGAAUGUUCUAGAAGAUGUUGCAUGGAAGAUUGUGAUUAGUUGACACCUUUCAUGGGUCUAUGGCCAAUGGGCUUGGCCCAUUAGGGUUUUAGGUCUGAUUCCUCAAGUAUGAAUAGGGAUGCAUGCUAGGUCAUUUUGUAUCUUGAAUUCUAGAGUGAUAGGCAAAUCUAUGUGUUAUUGUGCUUGUAACCUCUGUUUGAGAGAUCUAAAAUAAAUAAUCCUUCCCGUGGACAUAUGUCACCUUAACCGAACCACGUAAAUAUUGUGUCUUGUGUGCUUAUUGAUUUGCUAGUUGUCCGCUUUACUUCCUAACAACUUUAUAUGGAGAAUCCAUAAAGGUGCGGUUAUGAUAGUGGUGAAACAUUGGUUAGUUUUAUCGUAUUGCUAUGUGAUUACUUUUAUAGUAAGUGAUAAAAAUAGCUAAUUGUUAUAAUUUUAAUUAGCAUAUUGAUGGNCACACAUAUAUAUAUAUAUAUAUAUAUAUAUUGGUUGAUAAGUUAAAUUAUUAAAUGAUCCUUCGUGUUGUUAUGUUAUUGUAGAUGUUAUUCACUAAGCCAUAUGGCUUAUGGUGUUUUUUUUAUUGUUGUGUUGCAGGUUAGGUUGAUGUAACGCCCGUCUCAAAUCAUGUACUUGAUUCCAAUAUGAUUCUUGGUGACAACUUCUUGUAUUUCGGUAUGUUAGUGUACACCGAAAUGUUUUAUAAAGUUAUUAAAUAAAUAAAUUUUAUUAGGGUGUACCUAGUAUGAAAAAUAUAGGCGUUACAAAGCGUUUUAAUGAGAAUAAGAUUGUGGAGUUUGUUUUAAAGAGUUUUGAAAUUUCAAAACGUUUUAAAAAGAAAAUAUGGAGAGAUUUCAUUUAAAAUAAUUACAAUAUUGGACAAUGUUUAUUAAAGAGUUAAAGGAUUUCAUAGAGUUUUCAUAAGAGUAAAGAAUAAAAGUUCUAUUUAAACAGAAGAGUUAAAUGAUUAGUUUUCAAAAGAUUUUGGGGAUACAUUGUAUUUCAAGGAAUGAAUAAUUCCUUGACUACAAACGUGAUGGAAUCCCAAUAGUACUCACUAACAUACGAUUCUGACAUGUAUUCAGGUAUGAGUAAACACUGAUGCUUAGAGGACCAUGAGACAUUUUGAAGACCACUGUGAUGUAGUGGUUGCUUAUCUUAUAUAAUUAUAUUUGAAUUGAUGAAUCCCCCUCCCUUCUAAAACUUAUAUUUACUAAGUUGUUUUGAGGACUAUUUUAAGUAUUGUGACAAAAUUACCACAAAUGAUGAUUUUUACUUUAAAAAGUAAUUUAAAUAGUUUUAAAAAUAUAAAAUCAAAAUUGGGUGUUUUACAAAGCAUAUUUCCAUAUACUAAAGCUAGUUUCGACCCUCUUCUAAAUCCAUACGAUAUAAAAGAGUAAUUUUCAUUCAAAUAAAAAAAUAUAGUAACAUUCAGUUUUAGGAUGUUUCUUUUGUUCGAAAACUGGACUUGAAUUUAAUUGUGACAUCCCCAAAAUCUCGGCCAGAAAAGACCGAUUUUUCAUUUAUGCUUUUAAAUAUUUUUCAGAGUAAAUCCUUUUGAUUUGAAAGAGUUGCGGAAUUUGUUCCCAAAAACAAAACAUGAUAAAACAAUGUUUACCAAAGCAUUUCAUAAAAGAAAUGUAUUUUCAUUAUAAUCAAAACUCGAGGUGUCAUGUUCCGAUACAAACCAAUAAGCAUAAACAAAUACAUUACAAGUCAUUUAACAAAUAUAAACAUAUGCAGACUUGUAAACAAACAACUUGAUGGUUCAUCCAUCUAUGCUCUUGCGCCACUUCCUGUAAUACAAUUAAAACGGAGUGGGUCAGGCUUGGGAGCCUGGUGAGCAUAUAGGGUUUUCAACCCACAAUAAAUAUCAUAUUUAAUUUUCACCAACCAACAAUAACCAAAUUACUCAUUCCCAUUAUUCUCACUUUAAUGUCCCUAAUACAACUAAUCAUAAGGGACCUAGUCUAAGAAUAUUUCAUCGGGGCGACAACACAUGCUUCGGGGGUUCCUCAGCAAUAUAAGUCAAAUAAGGCAACCAUGAGGGGGAUGGAGUACAGCGAAUGAACACCCAAGUUCAUUAACACCUACAGGUGGCGAACCUGCUAAUGUUUCCACAAGACUGUCUAGAAUAGCCAGUGGUCGUCAUCUAAACUCCGCUAGAUGACUCAAUCAAACAACAACGAGGCCUCUCAUCUGUUUAUUACACACCAACUGUCUACCCAUGUUCUACCCAACAUAUUAGUAGAUAAAAAUAUACAUUUGUAUACAUAGUUUAAAGAAAACCUGUAUAGCAUGCUUUAAUCAACACAUAUAUCACAUAACAGAUGAGGCACACACACACAUAACACAUAUCUCAUAAAGAAAUAAGCAGAUCUAUAAGAUAGAAGAGAGUGAAUACUCAUUCACACAUAACACAACCAAAUAUAUACACAUAGCACGUAUUUUUAUAUAAAAUACUUCGUAUUAUUGUAUUAGAAGAAAUAACUACACACUCACUUGAUCAGAAGAUGAUCGGACAGCACUACGGCUUAUAGAAGUAGUAAUCCACAGCAGAUCUGGAAGAUCUUCUCGAAAAUCGAACUUCUCGCGGGCAGAGCUUCGACUCGGGAACCGCACUUCUCGGGAUCUUCGGGAUCUCGGGACUUGCCUCGGGGCUAGAGUAUGAUACCGGGGCUUCGGGGUAGCUUCGGCACGAAAAACGAUGCAAAAGACUAGAGAGAAGAGAAGAAAAUGAACAACAAAUGAGGCUGCCUUCGGAUCCUUUAUAUAGAGGCUGGAACCUCGGAGUACGCGGGGCGUACAGGCGUACGCAGCGCGUACGCGUCCGAAAUCGUCAUUGCAUGCGUCAUCCGAAGUGUCGACACUAUGCGAAGUACGCGGUAGCGUAACCUCGUACGCGGGGCGUACUCCGGAUCACACCGGUGACUCGGCUUCGGAUAAUGCUUCCGAUUUUGAAUUAAAAAUAAAUAUAAAAUGAUUAAUAAACUUCGGAAAUUCAUAACUUCUUCAUACGAACUCCGUUUUCGACGUUCUUUAUAUCCACGCGAAGGUGAGACCACGCUCUACGACUUUCGUUUAGACUCCGUCGGCUAAUUUUGACUUUAUUUUUAUUAUUUAUUUUUAAUAGGCCGCGACAGACAAACUUCGUUAUAAAUUCAUAACUUCUUCGUUUGACGUCCGUUCUCACCUAACUUUUUAUCGCUUCGAUACUAACAAUGAGAUCUUCGAUUCUCAUUUAGAUUGCUUCGGCUAAAAACCCCUCGAUCUCAUAUCGAGUAAAACAGGCUGCAUACUGCUAAGCCGAAACUUCGAUAAAUCAUAACUUCCUCAUACGAAGUCAGAUUUAGGCGUUCUAUAUAUAUUCGGAAACCUCGUUUCAACUACUACAACAUAAAUCAAAGAUAUUAAGUUUAUUUUACACUUAAAUUUUGACGCUUAUUUUUAUUCUUAAUUAAUCAAACCACAUAAUUAAGCAAUUAAGCACAAAACACAUAAUACUCAAAUAAUACAAUCUUAUUACUUCAAAACGGGUUACAAAGGUUAACCUAGACUAUUACAUUGCUAAAAAAUGGCAAGCCCGGAAACACAGGCGUUACAUUAAUCAUAAGAGGGUCUCGUUUCAUAAAGGAUGAAGAUUGGACCUUAAUGAACGAGGAUUUUACGUUAGAAUUAUAAUACUUUGGAGUAAAGGAUUGGUUUUGGGUUGAAAAGCGAUUUGGGCUUAAGUUGGUUUAGGGCUUGCUGGAUCGGGACUUUCGUGGCACGACGUGACGAUUGUCCAAGCGUGAAGUUGUUGGAUAUAUAUGCUCAAAAAUCAUUUUAGAAUGAUGUUUGCCAAUAACAUACGAUAUUAUACGGUCACACCUUUAGCAAGUUGUCACUUAUUGAAUAUUUGUUAGUAAUUUGAUUAUUAAUAAAUAAAUCCAACUAUUGUUAUUAAUUAGGGAAUAAUUAUUAUUUUAUGAAAAUAGUAUUUCUUGAGAGGAUAACUAAACAUUUAAUCAUAUAGUAUGAUCUAAUACGUUGUGUACCUUUAGGAGUUCAUAUAUAUAAUGUAUAUAAACUUGUACACUUAAGAGAUAAUGCUUGAUGACUUGUUGACAUCACAUCUCUCUUUCUCUCACUUAUGACCAAAAAUAAGAAGCAUAUGGUAUGUUGCCUCCAUCUUGCCUCUUACAUACUCCAUGCUUCUUACAAGCCAUGUAUUUGACUUGUGUAAAUGUAUGGUAUUAAGAUCUUGUGUGUGACUAUAUAAAGAGAGUAUGGCUUCAUUUAGAAAUCUAGUUUUUGUUGUUGUUCUCUUCCUUCUUGCAUAAAGUCGUAGAUUUAUACCUUCUCCCUUUCUAACUCCUUUUUGAAUUGUAGUGUAGAUUUGGUGCUUAUAAGUGCUUCUCCUUUAGUAUUUAAUAGUGAUAAGUACUUAAAUGCUUAGGAAGCACUUUAUACAAUAUGAGAACUAGCAUUCUUUGUGGCAUAUACUAGUUAGUGGAUACAUUAUAAAGAAACUCUUACUUGAGUUUUUGCCAUCUUCAUCAACUUCUAAAAACUAAGUCGGAUCAAAGUCUUAAAAGGUUGUUGUAAGGUUGAACCUUAUAAUCUAAUGAGCCAAGUACUAACACAUGUUAACCAUCAAUGUCAGCAUCAUCGCCAGUGCUCAUACCUAGAAGCAUCAGCGUCAACGUGUGACCAAUUGUACUGCUGUUUUUACUUUGUAUUAUGUAAUUAUUGUAAUGAUAGUUGUUAGCUAACUAUUCCUUAAUCUUAGUGAUUAGGAUCGAUUUAGUUAUUUAGAUUAGAGUCAAUCCAUUAAAUGUCGAGAUUGAUUGUUACUAGUUUAACUAAAUAUUCGUGUAAUUGGGUUGUUCUCAUGGCAACCCUAAUCGCCGCUUUGUGCCAAUUCUCUUUAUGAGAAUCAUAUCUUAGUGAAAUCAUAUUUGUGAUAACUUUGUGUUAUUUUUUAUUAUUCUUUUACUUGUUUGUGUCCGAUCUACAAGCCCUCAACUAGAAUCAGAGCAUGUUUUCUCAUACAUUCAAGAUAUAAUGUAAUCUUUGUCCCAAUACAAGCCAAAAUCCUCUACAACGAACAAAUUCCAUUGUUUGAUGAAAAUAACUUUGCCAUGUGGAAGACAAAAACCAUGGUUGUUCUUUAAAGCAUGGACCAUGACAUGCUCAACAUCAUCAAUCAUGGUGCUUGUGUUCCUAUGUAUCAACCUAUGAUUGAUAAUGCACCCGCUACGAAUUGAAGCAGAAGCCAAAGUAAAACUACAAUGAAGAAGAUAAAAUACUCAUAAGUCUAUAUGUGAAAGUAAGGGAUGGCAUAGAAAAUUCUCUUUGUUACCAAAUUUAUCACCUAGUUCAUAAUUGUGACUCUACACAAGAAAUGAUGGAGAUGCUGACGGUGGCAUACGAAGGCACUAUAGAAGUUCAAGCAACAACUAUCAACAACUUGAACCAGAGAUAUGAACAUUUCUUUUCUUAGCAAGGUGAGACAUUGAACCAAGCCUUUAACAUGUUUAAUUGUUUAGUGAAUGAUAUGCAUAGGUUGGGAACUACUAAACACUCAUCUCAGUUGGUGCUAAAGUUCUUGGACUCUUUGGGGAAAAACUAGGAACAUCAGACUAAUGUCCACAAGAACAACGAGAAGAUAAACACAAUGGACCUUAACUCAUUGUUUGGAAAUUUGCACAACUAUGAAGAAACAAAGGAUCUUUUUAAAGAUAUCAUGAAGGACUCUAACAAGGAAUUUUUUUUGGCCUUGUUCUCAAGAAAGGAGAUGCUUUGUUUGUAUCAGUGACUCCGAGGCAUCAGAUCAGGAUGAAAUUCCGGAUGAUGAAUACUAAUAUGAUUUAGUUGCUAGUGUUACACUAAUUGUUAAACACUACGAAUAAAGUAGGUCAAGUGGAAGUAAGAGGUUUUAGUGUAACGAAAGGAGCUCAUCAGCAAGAAAGAAUGUCGUUGAUAGAAAGGAUGAUGGGAAGUGCUUCAACUGUGGAAGUACUAAUCACUUUGUCAGGGAGUGCAAGGUAAAGAAAGCACCUCAAAACAAAAAAAGAUAUGAGGUGAUGUACAAAGACCCAACAAAAAUUAAACAAUAGAAAUUAAAUAUCGUUCUACCUUUUCUUACUACUUAUCUAUACCCAUAUGAAAUGAUGACAUGCGUCUUUAAAUAUUAUUAAUGUUAUCAAAAUGUGACAUUUGUCAUUAUUUCACAUGGUUAUGAAGAUAAUUAGGAAAAAAAUAAAAGGAUAUUUAAUUUCUCAUUAAACAAUAUCAAUAUAGAAACUAGCUACUACCCCCUAGAGAACAUGACACUCCAAGGACCAACUACAUCAAUGUUGGAACUUUAUAUAUAUAAAGGAAUUGCAAGUUGGCAAUUUCCUUUGUAUCCUACAUUGGUGGGGGGAAGAAACUUUUGUGGUUUUAUAAGCUUAUUCCCUUGAUAGGCUUUCAAAGGCUUUAGUGGAUCAAAGGAAUGGGCCAAGCCCGCGCGCGCGCCUAGCCUAGCCUAGCACUAGCUGACGCCGCGAGUGCGCGAAAUGGCGCGAUUUAGGCGCACUUGGCACUUCGCACGACGCUGAGGAGCUUUUAUUUUUGACGAGUGCGGGUCAAGCCGGUUUGACCGAUCAGUUCAAAUGGUUGACCGGCGUUGACUUCGUGGAGGAUAAGUCAUCAGGGCAUUCUAGAAGGAUCAGGAAACGGCUUGCCAUGAGAGCAAGUCGUCGCCCUAGGGUUUCUGGGUCCAGCCUAUGGGGGCCCGUUUCAUGCCUUCUAAGGUUUUGAUACCUAUAAAUACUGCUCCCUAGGAGCCAUUUGACACAAUCACGAAAUUUAGAGCUCUCUCCCACUCUCUGCUUUUUUUUCUUCCGUUUCCGAGUAUUCGCUUUGUGUUUGUCAAUUUCCAGUGCUGUUGGAAGAUCGAUAGAUCUGCAUUAAAUCCUGGGGUUUUACUCUGUUGUUUACAACCAGUAGAAGCGAAGUAAAAACCUUUAAGGACAGGAGUCCGAUCCGUGCAGUUGUUUGAAGUUCAAGAUCAGUCGUCAACAGGUCGGUUAUAUUUUUCUGUCUAGCAUUUAAUUUCGUCCAACACUAGGACAAUCUUCUUCUUCCUUUCUUAUAAUUAGAUCAAAUCGUGAAGGAUUGAUUUGGUUUUGGACGAAACUUGGUAAAUCUAAUAAUAAUAAUUGGAUCUGUAUUUCGCAACUAAUAUACAUAUAAUUCUCAAUAUUAUUUGUCGGUUUCCUUGCGUGUCUAUUAGUUUGAUUUUCAACAUUCUUAAAUAUUUUUUAUUUGUGAUAAUCAACAGACUACUGGACACUACUGCUAGCCUCCACUUCAUGAACCAAGAGUUUGCCAAACUUGACCAAUUCGAUGGUCAGAACUACACCCAUUGGGCCGAGAAGGUCAAGUUCAUGCUUCAUGUCUUGAAGCUUGCCUUUGUGUUGGAUCCAUAACUGGCACCAAUUCCUGAGGAGGGGAAAACUGUAGACCCAACGAUCAUCACGGAACUGGAAAAUCAAAGGAAUCUGUGUACAGAGUCUGAGGAACUGUGUGGGUUACAUCAAAAACCCCCUAUCUGAUCGGCUCUAUGAUCUUUACGCGCCGGUCAAAGAUCCAAGAGAGCUAUGGAAUGCGUUAGAACUUAAGUACAAGGCACAUGAGGAAGGUACUAACAAGUACCUUGUGUCUAAGUACUUAGAGUUUCAAAUGGCUGAUGACAAAUCAAUCAUGGAGCAAGUGCAUGAACUCCAAGUCAUGGUCAACACGUUGAAUGCACUCUCCGUCUCUAUUCCAGAACUCUUUCAGGUUAGUGCGAUUAUCGCAAAACUGCCACCCUCGUGGAAAGAUUUCUCUAAGAGAAUGAUGUAUAAGUUCGAGGACUACUCCUUAUAUGAUCUGAUGAAACACCUCUGCAUUGAGGAGGAAACUUGCAUCAGGGACAAGCGUGGCAAAGUUGGAUUGAGUGUGCAUCACGUGUCAGCUGGGUGUUCUAGUGAUAAAGGCAAGUUUGGGGGACAAAACAAGAAGAACCUGGGACGCAAGAAACAAAGCUUCAAGAAACCGGGUCAUCAGAAUCCUAACUCAAAGCCAAAGAGGACCGGACCUUGACACGUCUGCGGAGAGAUUGGGCACUACGCAAGAGAAUGCAAAGAUCUCAAAUCAGGACCGGUUGCACAUGCAGUCGAGCAGGUGACUGACAUGGUGGCAAGUGUGAACCUAGGAGAGAUUUUUAUGAUCUCCUCCCUUACCCGAGCAAUCUGUGCUUGAGGAUGGUUCGUGGACACUAAAUCCACCGUGCAUGUUUAUGGGCAACGAGAGAACUUCCACACUUACCGCCCAAUGCCACAUGGGAUGGUCGUCAGUUGUGUUGAUGGUCACAGAGCUGAGGUUCUAGGUAGAGGUGAUGUUUAUGUGAAGUUCACACGUGGUGAAUGAGUAACCCUUCGAGAUGUUCUUCAUGUUCCUACUAUCUCGAAAUGGUUGGUUUCUGCAGACAAGUUUGACAAGGGUGGGUUCAAGAUGGUGCUUGAUAAAGGAAAAAUUGUGAUCACUAAAGGCAGAAGAUAUGUUGGGAGGGCGAACAAUUGUUCAGGGAUGUAUCGUUUGUGCCUUAGUGAUGAGGGUAGUGUGAGUGGUCCUAAUGUUGAGAGUGGUAGUUCUAGUGUUGCUAGUGUGUCGAGUGUUGAAAAUGAUGUAAUUGGUGGAUUGGUUGCUAAUGUGAAUGAAGUGAACUUUUCUGGUUAUUUUGUUUGUUCAAUUUCUUUAUGGCAUAAACUUUUAGCACAUACUAAUGUUAAAAACAUUGAAAAAAAUGAAAACUAAAGGAAUGUUAAAAUAUGACACAAAAGAUUUUGAAAAAUGUGAAACAUGUGUGAAUUCAAAGCUCACUAAGAAACCAUUUCCAUCAAUUAAGAGAAACACAUCAUUGCUUGAAUUGAUUUAUUAUGAUAUAUGUGAAUUAAAUGGAAUCCUUACUCGAGAAGGAAAAGGUAUUUCAUCACAUUCUGUGAUCACUUCAGUCGAUAUCUACAUGUUUAUUUGUUGAGAUCAAAAGAUGAAGCUUUUGACGCAUUUAAGCGGUAUAAGGCUGAGGUCGAAAAUCAACUUGAAAGACACAUCAAAAUUCUUCGCUCGGAUAGAGGCGGGGAAUAU